AGAGUAGAUUAUGUGAUUUACAGCGAUGCGUUGCUGAAUGGAUUAGGGUGUGUUCUAAUGCAGUAUGGCAGAGUAAUUGCUUAUGCAUCUCGCCAGUUAAAGGAUUAUGAAAAGAACUACCCUACACAUGAUCUUGAGUUGGCUGCCGUAGUUUUUGCUUUAAAACUUUGGCGCCACUACCUCUACGGUGAGCGUUGCGAGGUGUAUACAGACCACAAAAGCUUAAAGUAUCUAUUUACGCAGAAGGAAUUAAACUUGAGACAACGUAGAUGGUUGGAGUUGCUCAAGGAUUAUGAUUUGACCAUCCUUUAUCAUCCAGGAAAAGCUAAUGUUGUAGCAGAUGCUUUAAAUCGAAAAUCGACAGAAAAUUUGGUGAUGUCAAUAACUGUGCAACCAUCUCUAGUAAAGAAAAUGAAACAGUUGGACUUGGAAGUUGUAGCUCCUGAUAUGCCUUGGCGACUUAUGUCAUUGGUGGUGCAACCUACCCUGAUCGAUCGAAUUAAAGAAAAGCAAGCCCAGGAUGAAUUUCUGCAAAGGAUUCGAGCAAAGAUCACUGUUGAUCAGGUUGGUGACUUUCGAGUAGAUGAUCAGGGACUGUUAAAAUUUGGUGAUAGACUUUGUGUGCAAGCAGACUCUGAUAUUAAAGAAGAAAUUUUAAAAGAAGCACAUCGGGCGCCGUAUACUUUGCUCUUCAUGCUCCUCUUCGCUCUUCGAAUAGACCAAUACGUCGUCUAUAAAUACCACGACGCAUCGAUCCAACAAUGGCCUAAAGACUCGAUUCAUCAAGUCCAUAAAUGCUGCCGGGGCAUUAGUAAGCCCAAACGGCAUUACCGUGAACUCAUAAUGGCCAUAUCGCGUACGGUACGCCGUCUUGUGCACAUCCUUCGGCCUGAUCUUUAAUUGAUGAUACCCCGAUUGGAGAUCAAUCUUCGAAUACACCUUGGACCCUUGCAACUGAUCGAAUAGAUCGUCAAUCCUUGGCAACGGGUACUUGUUCUUUAUCGUCACUUUGUUCAACUCGCGAUAAUCUACGCAGAGUCGAAGUGUGCCAUCCUUUUUCUUCACAAAUAGCACCGGAGCUCCCCACGGUGACACACUCGGCCUCACGAAGCCUUUAUCGAGCAAGUCUUGUAGUUGACCUUUUAGCUCCUUUAACUCCACCGGUGCCAUUCUAUACGGAGCCUUCGAAACUGGUUCCGCCCCGGGAAUCAAGUCAAUGACAAACUCAACUUCCCGGUCCGGUGGCAGUCCCGGUAACUCCGCCGGAAACACAUCCGGAAACUCGCACACUACUCGGAUAUUCCCCAACUCUGGGUACUCCUUUCGAGCAUCUACCAUGGUUGCCAAAUAGGCCUUACACCCUCCUUUGAUCAUUUUCUUCGCCCUUACAGACGAUAUAGUCGCCGCGAAGCGCCUACUUUUGCACGCUUGGUAGACUAACUCUUCUUGAUUAGGCUCACGAAAAGUGAUCACCUUGCUUUCACAAUCUAUCACCGCAUAGUACUUGGAGAGCCAAUUGGUCCCCAAGAUAACAUCGAAUCCCCACAUCUGAUCUAGCACUAGCAGAUCAAUCGGCAUAAUCCAAUCACCUAUUUGCACUGGACACGCCAAACACUCGUUGUGGACACUGAAUGAAUGCUCUGGAGCAUUCACCCACCAAUAAUCCUCGUUGUAUACCAUCUCUAUGCCAUGUGUUUUAGCAAAUAACGUGCUAAUGAACGAAUGAGAUGCGCCUGUAUCCAACACUGCUCUAGCUCUAGUGCCUUUAAUCACAAUUAUACCUGCCCCGACGUCGUCGGGUGCUGCAGGUUGCUGCUCCUCCACCUGAGCGGCAAAGACUCGACCGCUAGGCGCUCUCGAUCCCUCCGGCUGACGCGAUGAUGACGCGUGCCCAGCCGACUUCGCCGGUGGUAACCCCGCAAGCUGUCUCGGGGUAGACGGUGCUGAUGCCGCCGUCGGCACAGACGACGUCCACGACGGGCACUCCCGGAUAAGAUGCCCUGGUUGGCCGCACUUGAAACAUUUGCCGUGUCGCUGCGGGCAAGUCGACACCUUAUGCUCUCCGCCACAUAUAACACAUCGAGGUGGUCUCCAAUUCCUCGCCUGCUGUCGGGGAUACCGAGGGGGUUUCUUAGGAAUUGGCCGGCCCCCGGCACCGCCCGCCGUUCUUUUCUUGCCCUUGUCCUUCGACUCGGCAAUAGCCUCCCUUUCUUCACGUACAUGGGCGCUACUGUGCUCCGCCCACAAGGCUCUAUCGAAGACCUCCGCAAAGGUCGACAACUUCAGAAUUUGCACAUUUUCAUAAAUCCGGGGUUGGAGUCCUCGCAAGAACCAAUCCGCCCGGUCCCGAUCAUCUCGAACAACAUCGGGAACGCAGUCAAUAAUGUGGGAGAAUUCUUGCUCGUACUCCCCCACCGAUCGAUCACUUUGUCUUAACUUGCGGAACUUUUCUUGCAACUUCCGCUUCGUCGUGUCGGGGAAGUAGUUCGCAAACACCGCUCUCUUGAACUCUUCCCACAGCAUAAGCGGAAGGUCGAUAGGACGAUCCCGCUUCACUCGCUUCCACCACACCUUUGCCACUUUCUCAAGACAAUGGGUGGCGAGGUACACUUUAUCCUUCUCCGAGGUAUUGAGAUCCUCGAAGAGCGUCUCUAUUGAGUCGAUCCACGACUCCACAACCGCUGGCUCCACCAAACCGCCCUCGAAGGUAGGUGGGUCGAACUUCUUGAAUUGUAUAAGCGCCGCCAACGUGCGCUCUCGCUCCGCUUCUACCGCCGCGCUAUCGGGAUUUGAGGUUCCCGAUCCGGCCGGUACUACCGUAACUGGAACAGCCGCUGCUGCCGCCGCUCCCUCGUCCAUCACGCUCUGCAGCUACACAGGGGGCGCGACAUCCUGACGCCCGCCUAAGCCACCGUCGCCUGUUGUCGCUCCAAGGCCUCCUGGAGCCGUUGAAUCUGCUCCCCUUGGCGUUGAACAGACUCCCGCUUGUUGCCGCACUACUCCGAUAAGCACGGCCUUUGCUCCUAAGCUCUCCGUCGCCCUCGCGCUCGGAUCGCUCGGCUCCACGUUCGGCUCUCCGGCAUCGACGCUUGUCUGCGGUCGUCCCGAGUGGCCAUUGCUUUCUAAAAGAAGCAACCGCAUUAGUCACUUGACCAACAUUUACUUGACCACACCCAAUCUACGGAAACGCAACAUACACAUUCAUCUUCUUGCCUCAGCGUCAUGUCGUCGGGCCGCCGACACAAACUAGAAGUAAGGAAACUAAAAUUAACAUUACCUCUUAAUCAAUAGAGAGUCCCUACUUAACCCAAUCACAUGCUUUCGCUACUUUGAACCCACGUCAACUCACUUUCCUAAUCCUUAAGCCUUCCACAUCCUAAGGGUCCCUCUACGUCCAGUUCUAUUCUUUCACUCUUAGGCUUUGAUAGCACGCUAAUCUGUCGCCCCAAGCCCUCAUCAAUGUACUAAUUUCGCUUCAACAGAAAAAAGCUACUAGCGGAAAACAUACAGCAAGACGGCUUUCACGAGGGUAACAAUAGCCAUAAGGAAAGAGAAAAGGAAACUUAAACAUUCACUUAGUACUAUGGUUCAUUUUCUGAUCAAUAUACACUUGCAUGCAUCUGGUUCAUUUUUCGAAUUCCUUACAUUUCAUUUCAUCAUUUCUUUCUUACAUCACAUUUACCUCAAAAAUACAUAUUAAUUCUUUUCUUUACAAUCAUUACCAUCAUUGGUACAAAAGUAUGAUCAUAGGGUACUCUGCUAGGCAAAUGAAACCUAGACUUUGUGUGCUAUGUGGAUACUCAUUGAGUGCGUGAUUAGUUGUCCUGUCGCGCUUCCUGCGGCUCGCUCGUGUGCCGGCGGCUCUGUGAAAUAUGAGUCGAUUCCACACUCCACAACUGCUGCUCCAUGCCCUACACCAACGCCCUCGAGGUAGUGUCAGAAUCUUGGAAUGUAUAAGCCGCCGCCAAACGUGCGCUCUUUCGCUCCGCUUUACCGCCGCUGCUAUCGGGGAUUGCAGUGGUCCCGAUCGGCCGGUACUACCGUGAACUGGAACAGCGCGCCUGCGGCGCGCUCCAUCGUCCACCGCUCGGCACUACCACAGGGGGCAGCGACGAUGCUCGACGCGGCCCCGCUAGCACCGUCGGCCUGUUGUCGCUGCCAACGCCUCCUGGAGCCGUUGAAUCUGCUCCCUUGGCGUUGAACAGACUCCGCUGUUGCCCCGCACUACUCCCAGAUAAGCACGCCAUUUGCUCCCUAAAGCUCGUCCGUCACCCCUCGCUCGGAUCGCUGUCAGGCUCCACGUCGGCUCUCCUCCGCAUACGACCUUGUAUCGUCGGUAUCCACGAGGUGACCAUUGCUUCCUGAAAAGAAGUCAACUCGCAAUUAGUCAUUUGACCACAUUACUUGACCCACACCAAUUAGGCGAAAGCAACAUACACAUUCAUCCUGCCUCAAGCCGUCAUGUCUCGCCGGCGAACAACAUAGAAUAAGAGAUAAACUGAAAAUAAACUUAGCCUCUAUCCACAUUAGAGACGUCCCUACUUAACCCAAUACAUCGCUUUCGCUAAUCUUUGAUCCCACUGUCACUCAACUUCCUAGAUCCUUUAAGGCCUUCCAAUCUAAGGUCUCUAGCGUCCAUUCGCUUAUUCUUUCACUCUUGGCUCUUGAUACCACGCUAUCUGUCGCCAAGGCUCGAUCACAUGUACAAUUUCCUCACAGAGAAAGCACUAGCGGAAACAUACACAAACCGGGCUUACACAACGGGUAAGCAAUUAGCAUACAGUUGAGAAAGAAAAAGGCAAACUAAACAUUCACUUUCUAUGAUUCAUUUUUGAUCAUAUACACUAUGCAUCUGGUUCAUUUCGAAUUCCUUAUUCAUUAUUUUCAUCAUUUCUAUUUCUUAUCCAUUACCUACUCAUACUCUUUCAAUAAAUACAUUAUAUAUUAUCUUUCUUUUACAUUCUAUUUACCAUCAUGUACAUAAUAGAUGAUCAUAGGUGACUUUGCUAUUAAUUAAACUCUAUACUUUAGGUGCGUUGAUAGUCGAUUACCUGUUACCGCGGUCGCUUCGCCGCUCGCUCGGUCCCGGCUCUGGUGGUAAAUAAGUGGGUGAGAACACACAACAAAGUUCGCGGAGUGGUUCCGGCCUCAACAUCCCCCCUGACUUUCGCCACUAAGACUAACUCAGGCAUAAUAGAAAGAAUAAGCCACGCAUAUAGUAACCAAUCUAUACAUUAUUACUAAUCGCCUGAAAAUAAAGCACAGGAGGAUCUCAACAUUAAAUAGAUAGGCCGAUUAUGCAAAUUCUUUGUUCUUUUUACGUUACUCUUUGUUCUUUAUUCUUUAUUCUUUGUUCUUUAUUUUUUAUUCUUUAAUCUCAAGGCUAACCCGGGGGUUUCGCCACAUUAACUUGCUUCACAUUAAGUCCAUCAUCGCAGGAACUCACCCGCUAGGACCGUCCUUCGGGUUUACUCCAACCCGUGAUGCAUAACUCCGGAGCGCAUCGCCCGAGGGGGAGCGACCGCCCUCGAGCACGGAACUCAUAGCAAGUAUGAUCAUAUCCUUAACUCAAAGGAUUUAUAUGUUCAAUCUUGACUUUACACUAGCUCUAGUGUUCUUUAUGUCACUUUAUGUUGCCACCCUAGCAAUCGUUGUUCUUUACUUUUCUUUUACUUUUGCCAUCUUUAGCAUUCUUGAUCUUUACAUUUCUUGUUCUUAUUGCCCCACCUUACUUUAACUUUACACAUUGUCAUUUUCAUCAUUCUUUACAUCACUUUGGUUCUUUGGCUCACACUAACUCUAGUGUCACUUUACUUUACGUUUUCAAAUGCCACUCAAUCUAUGUCAUUGUGCCACUCGGUUCUUUCGGCUCACUUUAGCACUCACAUUUUCUCUCAUGCAUACAUAUAGGGUUCUAACAUUCAUAAGGUUCUCAACCAUCACAUUUGGCAAGUUGUAUUUACAAUCAUGCAACAUCACAUUUUCAUCAUCGCUUUACCCUAAAAUGCAUGCAACAAAUAUGUAACAUAUGCUCAAUUGAAUGACACAUUAGGCAUAGAGGGAAGUUCAACGAGUUUGAGAAGCACCACCCACCUCGUAGGCUUUCAAAGGUGCUCCGAUGAUUUUCUUGGGAUUUUUAGACUUCUCGUUCUUUACCUGCGGCAAAAUGAAGCCAAAUUAGGCUUAUUUGGCCAUAACUUUACAUUGGCUUUUCGUAAUAUUAAUCCGAGCGCACCAAUGCGUCGGAAAUACCCCCAAUUAGAUUUCUAGAGGGUCAAUUGCACUUAGAAAUCCCUAUGAGCAAAAACCCCAAUUUUGGUGCCCUAACUCCAUAGCAUCAUCAAACCUAGGGUUUGAUCUCAAAGAGAAGCAAAAGUAGCUUCAAUAUACUCUAAAGAGUUCAUCUAAACCAUUCCUAGCUCAUUCCAAACCCUAGUUUGGAUUUCACCAUGAAAGGGGUCGAGCUCUCCUUCAAGCUUUACCUCCAACACCAAACCCAUGGUCUUGAUCUCAAAGGAAGCAAAAGAAAAGCUUCACAUACUCUAAAAGCUCCUUAAAAAUCAUUUCUAGGUCAUUUGGCUCUCGCAUUAGGGUUUUAGCAUGAUUAGGGUUGAAGCUUACCUCAAAGCUUUCCCUAACUUGCACUAGAGAGGAAGAAGAUGAAGUGGCUUCACUUCAAUGGCUUCUCCUCCACCUUCUUUUCCCUCUUUUCCUUUGUCUUCUUCUUCUCCUCCUUCUUUGUAUUCUAGAGAGAGAAAGAGAGGAGAGAGUGUGAGAGGGAGUGGAAUGAGAGAAAAGCCCUCAUGUCCCUCAUACAUAACCAUUGGGCUGCAAAAAUGCUAAUAAACCCCUCAACUUUCAUCUUAUUCAACUGCCUGGACUGGGCAGAUUUCGGGCUCGGGGACCGGUCUCCCCGACUAGGGACCGGUCUCCGAGAGCUCUCCCAGCGCAGCCAGAGCUGCUGCGCGCAAUGCGACCGGUCUCUCUUUGAGGGGACCGGUCUCUCGGGGACCGGUCUCUCAGGCAGGGACCGGUUCCCGAGAGCUAAUUCCUCAGGACUUAGCCGAUUUUUCGGCUGUCUCACUUCAUACGCGUUCGGGGACCGGUCUCUCCUACCAGGGACCGGUCCCCGAGAGCUCAAAACUGCAGAAUGCAGAUUUGAUUCUAUAGCUCUCGAAAACCUCCCGUAACUCACUUUUAAUCAUUUUAACACCUUCGGACUUUCCGAAGUGUACCGUCCUCGCACUUUGGUCAAUUUGACUAAAGUUCGACAUUUUUAUUUUCCGAAUUUUCGGUAUAUUACAACCUGUUAGCAGGUUAAAGCUGAAUAUCGACUUCCUGCAGGAAAACUUCAGAGCUUACCCAUACCAGUGUGGAAAUGGGAGAAGAUUACUAUGGAUUUCAUUGUUGGAUUACCUCGCGCACAGGCAGGUCAUGAUGCGAUUUGGGUAAUUGUGGAUAGAUUGACCAAAUCUGCCCACUUUAUUCCAAUUCAUACAGUUUGGUCGGGGGAGAGACUCGCACAAGUGUACCUUGAGGAAAUUGUGCGAUUACAUAGAGUACCUGCCUCUAUUGUUUCAGAUCGUGACACCCGAUUCGUAUCACAUUUUUGGAGAAGUUUACAGGAGGCCCUGGGUACCUGGUUGGAUUUUAGUACUGCUUUCCACCCCUAGAGUGAUGAGCAGUCUGAGCGUACCAUCCAGACCCUUGAAGAUAUGUUGCGGGCCUAUGUGAUUGAUUUUCAGGAUAGUUGGCCACAGUUCCUACCGAUGGCUGAAUUUGCUUAUAACAAUAGUUAUCAAACAAGUAUUCAAAUGGCACCGUUUGAAGCCCUUUACGGUAGAAAGUGCAGAUCACCACUACAUUGGAGUGAAGUGGGAGAGAGAUUAGUUUUGGGUCCAGAUGUGUUGCAGGAGGCUGAAGCUAAAGUUCGACUUGCACGAGAACGUCUAUUGACAGCUCAAAGUCGACAAAAGAGCUAUGCGGAUAAACGUCUGCGAGAAUUGGAAUUUCAAGUUGGCGAUCAUGUAUUCCUAAAUGUUUCACCAACAAAAGGAGUUAAGAGAUUUGGCAUUCGAGGGAAGUUGAGUCCUUGAUUUAUUGGACCCUACGAGGUGUUGGAACGGAUAGGGCCGGUAGCGUAUCGGCUUGCGUUGCCGCCGAACCUAUCAGGAGUGCAUAAUGUGUUUCAUGUAUCCACAAUUCGAAAAUAUAUUUUUGAUCCAACCCACAUAUUGGAAAGCACCCCAGUGGAUUUACGAGAAGAUAUGAGCUUUGAGGAACAUCCAGUGAAAAUACUAGCUUGAGAAGUGAAACGGCUUCGAAACCGCGAGAUACCCUACGUGAAGAUCCUUUGGAGCAACCAUGACAAACGAGAAGCCACGUGGGAAUUGGAGAGUACAGUGUUAGAGCAUUAUCCCCACCUUUUCUCGACGGAAUCUUGAGGUAGUUGGUUAAAGUUUCGCGGACGAAACUCCUUUUUAGGAGGGGUGAAUGUAAUACACUGAACUUAUGCAAAUUGUGAUGUUCGAGUGUGUAGAAGGAUAUUUGGAGCUAUCCUACAUCUUCUAAAGGGUUUAGAGAAGAUAUUGGACAAGUUUGAGACUGAUCGGAAGGCCAGAAGCAAGAAAGUGUAUUGUUCUGGCGAAAUUAAGCUUUUUCUGAUGGUGUACCGGUACAGCCAUCAUCGUGUACCGGUACACAAUGGCAGAAACGUGGCAGCAAGGCUAUUUUGAUAUUUUCACAUUUUAUACUUAUCUACUUAGCUUCAGCUCGACCCCUGGAGCCUCUUAGAUGCUGCUAGAGAUCAGAGAAGCUGCCCUGCACCUCUUCCUCUUUCUCUCUCUAGGGUUUUUCUCUCUCUAUAUAGAAAUCGAAGAUUUAGCUCGUUUUCGUCGCCUCGCUUGUUCUUCACUAUUUGCGAGUGUCGCAAAGCUUACGUGGACGUAUAAGGGAGCAUUUUGGAAGGCUUUUCGCAGCUCUGAACUAGUAGUUUACUGAUUGGAAGCUUGAGAAGGUAAUCGACUCAAUUAUUCCGUAAUCGAGGUUCUAUUAGUCGAGUAGUUUGUUGAUUUUGGAUUUUUGUUGUUCCAGCUGAGUGAAAAGAGGUUUUGCUGUUGUAACAGGGUCGGAUAUUAUAGCUUAGCUCAGUUGGGACUAAUUUUAUGAUCUAAGAAGGUAAACUACUUCUUUUCUUCAUUGUUUGGGCACGAAUUCGACGAUAAAAGAGCUGAUUUUGGGAUCAUUGUUCGCAGCAGAUUUUUGAAUUAAAUUGAGCUUAAUUGGUAAUCUUGGGGACUGGUUUAGAAAGUGUUCUAACCUGAGGUAAGCAGGAAUUUCAGUUGGAAAACUAAUUUCGCAAGAAUUCAGCCAUAAUAGCUUGUAUACAAGCAUAUUGACGCCGUUUUGAUGUUGUUUGCAGCGAGAGUGAGAUCAAGCCUUGGAUCGUCUUUAGCUGACUUGUGAGGGCUCUUGGAGGCUUAACUUGAGGUAUUAAACUAGCCCAAAAUCAGGAUUCAAGCUAUUACUUUGUACUAAGUGCGAAUUAUGCCAAAAUUGGACAUUUCGGUUGUAGUAUUGAUGCGAUUUUCGUGCUUUGUUUUUAGCAGGGUUGCGGACUAGUGGAGCUGAUUUCGGGACUCUUGUGGACUAAAUUUGAGUCUAGUAAUAGGUGGGUUUGAGCUAACCAGAACAAGUGAAGCUCCCCUAUGUUCUAUAUGUUAUUGUAGAAGUGGUAUAGUUGUGUGCUUAUGUGAUUGAUAAAGGACUUGAAACUCAUCAUCAUAUUGUUUGACAUAUUUGAAAUGAAAUCUCUAUGAAGUAGAGAACACUCAUGUAUAAAGUAUUUAUGUUUAUGUUUAACUCAGUUGAAUAACUAAUGGACAAGUUAAUAUGUUCCUAGAAAGAAGAGAACAAUGACAUUCCGUUGACUUUAUUGAUUAGAAAAUAGAGAACAAUGACAUGCCUUGUGACUAUAAUGAUAAUGUCAUGAUAGUGGAAAGCUUCUAAUGCCAUAUGUAAAUUAGCAUUACUCUCAUAUGUUUACUGAUCUAGUGGACACUAGCUAUUGUUAAUAUUCGUUAUAUUGGAAAUUCCGAUCAAAGGAUCGAGAGUGAGAACAUUGCAAGAUAAAACAUGAUGAUUGAGAUAUAUUGGACUUUGGACUUUGCUUGCUUGCCAUUGUGCUCAUUCGCACACGCUUGUGAGGGUAGCUCCCUACAACCCGGCACUCCGGAGUUGGUCUACGCGACAGUUGCUCGUCCGUGCGGGAUUGGAUGCCGAAGUGGAUUGCCGUGGGGAGUGUAUACUACCACGGGGCCAUUAGGCGCGGCGCAAGCCGGACUACCUUGGGUAGUUCCUUAUGAAUGAAAUGUAAAUUCUAAAUGACAGUAAUGAAUGAUUACCAGUUAAAAUGUACGGUAUUUACUUACACGUUCAUGCUUAUGUUUAUGUUAUGUUCAGGCUUACAGUAAUUGCUAUGCUUUUAUUAUUCAGAUGAUUUAUUACUAUAGAAAGUAUAAUUACAUGUUGCUUACAUGUUCAUUAUUUGUUAGCAUUGGAAAUAUAUCAUGCAAUUACUGCUUUUACUUUCAUUCAGUACAUCAUGAGCCUAGUGGUGUAAUUCGCCGAGGCUGGCGGCUUACCCACUGGGAACUAUUGUUAAUAGUUCUCAUGCCCUUUUUAUGAUUGUUUUUACAGAGCCAUCGACAUGAGAGGCUAGGGAUCGUGGCAAGGGAGUCGCGUCUAGCUAGACACUGCUAGGGGCUUGCUAGUUGAUCACCUUGCUACUCGGGCUACGGCCGAGGGUGAUGUCCCUGUGUAUAGAGAGACUGCCAUUGUACAUGUUUUUGAGUGGCCUUUGAUGUAUAUGAGUUUUUAGAACCAGAAAUUGUAGUUUUCUUACUUCUUUUUGAUGUUGAGAUUUUGGGUUGUAUACUCUCUGUUCUUUUGUUGAUGAUAUUAUCGACUUGUACUUUGCUCUGAUAUCAGGAUAGGAUCUUCUAUGUUUUCUUCCUAUCGAUUUUCUUCUUUGUAGACGCCUUAUAUACUGCAAGUGUAUGGUGGGUCUGUGUAUGUACCGGAUAUGCUUCCGCUGGUACCCAGGCGUGACACUUGUACCGUCUCCUUUCUUAGCCGUUCUUUCACUUUUGACGGUCAAUAUCUCUCACGUUUCUUUUUUGUCUCUUUUGAGGCAUUAAUUAGGUUAUUUAUUACCGCCAUCUUUUCACCAUUAAAGCUAUUUUUCAUAAUCCUAUCCGGCGGCUCUCCUUCUCUUCCCUCUUUCUUUUGCCUAUCAUGCUUCAUUGCUUUUUUUCUUCCCUACGCUUCUUCUCUUCUUCAUCCUUGUCUGGAGUUUUCUCUUCACUAUUUCUUCUUUUUUCCAUCGAUUUUCUUCUCCUUUUUUCUUCCAUUUUAGCUAAUGGCUCUACUUCCUCCUCUUCCUUCGUCUCCUUCCCUUGAUUAUACUCUCCUUUGCCAAUUUGUCGAAACAAAUCCUUCUCGAUUUAUACUAGGACCUUCAUUCAUGGACGAUCCUAUUCCUGAAGAUUUUUCUUUUUCUACCGAGGGUCUUCCCCUGAUGGCUGAUGCUAUUCAUCUGUCUUCUUGGUAUGUUUCGACGACUUCAAAAUCGCCUGGGAAGAACCCUCGGACUUAUUUGAGUGCUUCGGAUGCCUAUCUCGCCUGGUUAGACCGUGUCGAGGCAUCUUAUGCUGAUUUCUGACGCGAGAUCAGGAUUUAUGAAGCCAUUCAACUAUGUAGAACACCUCCUAUAGUCGACAACCUUUUUUUAGCUGUGGCUCUCUGUUUCUGAUCCCCUAUUUCCAAUACCUUUCUUUUCAGAAGACGACCUUUUACUUCCACUCUCCUUGAUGUGGCAAUGAUUGUUGGUCUACGCCUUCAAGCAUUACUCUUUUGAUGGCCUAUAACCCUGAUGUCAUAAAUGAUUUUAAGGCCCAUCUUGAUUUGAAAGCCGAUCUGGCCUAUACCAAAUUUGUAAUAUACCGAACUUCUACAAUCAUAAAGUUUUGGUAGGAACUGACUUAAAAAGCUAUCAAAAUAAUUUCGGUGAAGUUUGGAGAGCAUUCGAGUGUUUUCGGCGCAAAUUGGAUGCGAAAACGAACUCGGAAAGCUGAAAUCUACCUAGGUUACAGAAUUUGUAUUGAGUACCGGUACUGGGGUUUUGAAUACUGGUACGCAAUACAAAAUGAAAAAUUUGAGCUCUCGGGUUCUGAGGAGCCAAGUUUGGGUACUGGUACUAAAUUUAUAUUAGGUACCGGUAGUGGAAACUGAGUACCGGUACGCAGUUCUGCCAAAUGCAGAUUUUGAAGGAUAUUUUAGCAAAAUCAAGUGUAAAUAAAAAUAGCAUGAAAUACUAUUUUUAUUGAUUUAGAAACAGUAUAAGAUAAUUUAGAAAUGGUUUGUGGUGAAAUUGGAAUAAAAGCAGGAGAUGUAGAAUUUUCUGUAAGGAACGGGGCUAAUCUUUUAGCAGAAAAUUUACAGUGUCAGAAAAUUAUGAAAAUUUGAGAAUAUGUCGGAAUUAUUUUUUUGAGGCUAGAUUUAAAGUUUCAUGUCAUUCCGACACAUAAAAAGUGAAAAACAGAAUCUGACUGCUAUCUGCUAGAUAUUCUAGUCGGUAGACUUUUCGGUGACAAAAAAUGGUUCAAAACAAAAAAAAGUUAAGAUCACGUUCUUCUAAUUGAUUUUAACCGAGCCUCAUUGUCAAAUUUGAGAAGAAACAGACAUUCAGAAGGGCUCCGGCGAAAAGUAUUAGAUUCUGAACUAGACUAAACUGAAAAUUAUAAUAGUGUUGGGGACCUAUAUGUAAACCCACACAAUCUCUCUCUCUUCCUGGUUCUCUCCCAAUAUGUGAGAGGAGUGGAGGCUUCUAUUUCUCUUCCACACACACACCCACAACAUGAGAGCUUCUCUCUCUUUCUCUCUCUCUCUAGCAAUUUCUCCAUUAAAGAGAAGAAGUUGGAGGAGAUUAACUUGGAGAAGAAGCCUGAUGAAGAAAGCUCUUUAAAUGAUGGAUCAAGUCUCUUGACCAUGAUGCCCAAGGUGAGAUUUCAUGUAUUUAAGUUAGGGUUUGGAUUAAACCCUUUACAAUUAGUGUAUUUCAUCUCCAUAUAAUUCUAAACAAGAUUGAGUAAAGGUUUACCGUAGAUUUUAGUGUUCUUGAGGAUUCAUGAAGCCUAGGGCCUGGAUUUAGAGCUUUUGUCCCUAAGGGAUUUGGAACUAAAUUGACCUUGUAAAACCUUAAUUGAAGGAUAAUUCGACGUGGAGGACAACUUCGUUUUGGAUUACGACAAGGUUACGACGUCCGAUUGAGAGAUUUGCAGAAUUUGGUUUGUUAGGCUUGGGUCGAGAUGAAUCGGCGUUGGAAAUCAAAUUGCUUGGAAAUCCUAGCUAUUGGUAAUUAGCAAAGGUUGGUGCUGCUCUCCGGAAUGGUUGGAUUUAUCCCUAUGUCUGAUUCCUUUUGUUGAGCAUAUAUAUAUAUAUAUAUAUAUAUAUAUAUAUAUAUAUAUAUAUAUAUAUAUAUAUAUAUAUAUAUAUAUAUAUGAGAGAUAAAUUGAGGAGUCAAAUUAUAUUGUAGAUGAUCUUUUUUUCUCCUCUCUUUAUNAUAUAUAUAUAUAUAUAUAUAUUGAUUAUGUAUGAUAGGGUUCAAGUAUUCUUUUGUGAUAGAAAUGUUACAAUUCUCUACCACCCCGGGAAGGCAAAUGUAGUCGCCGAUGCCCCUAGCUGGAAGUCGGUGGAGAACCUCGCGCAAAAAGUCACGACUCAGGGUCCUCUGUGUAGGGAGAUGAAACGAUUGGAUCUCGAGAUAGUGACUCCAGGGGUUCCGGCUGUGUUAUCGGCUCUCGUUGUCCAACCGACCUUGUUGGAGAGAAUCAAGAAAUUCCAAUAUCUCGAUUUGAUCUAAAAAAGGCUAUUUUGUAGAAAAUAGGUUUUGGACGAAAUCCUAGCCUCUAGGUUUUCUCAAACAUGUAUUCUCAUGAUGCUUGAUGUGUUAGAGAACCCCAAUAGCUUAUUUAUAGACUUUAGAAUCAAUUGGAGUCGGAUUAGAAAGUUUUCACGAAUUUACACUAUGUACCGGUACACUUUUAAGCUGUUACCAGUUACACGAUGACGGAACGAAAAACUGACGAAACACUGAAACCGGUUACAUGUUGAUGGUUGUACCGGUACACAUUUUGUACCGGUACACUUCUAAUGCUGUACCGAUACACUUUGCAAAUUUCAGUAUUUUACAAAGUUUCGGGUUUCGCAAAGUUCCGAGACACUUUCUAAUCCACUUAAUCUUUGAUAUUAUGAUUCUAAUGCCUACAAGUAUAUGUACAAGUGUAUAAAGAGAGAUACAUCUAGUAUAUGUAUUGGGAACUGGUCCCUUUGGCCCGGGGACCGGUUGCAUCGCGCGUCGCCUCAACCACCAGUUGAUGGGAUCGGUCUCUCCCUGCCAGGGACCGGUCUCCGAGAGCAAACCCGCACAGACUAUGUUCGGGAACCGGUCCCUCACCCCUAGGGACCGGUCCCCGAGAGCAGAAUCUACCCAGUGCAGGUUUGCACUAUUUGCUCUCGUGGACUCAACUCCAAAGCACUCUUUGUGUUUUGGACACCUUUAGCUUCUCCGAAGGAUACCCACUCGACAAUUAGUCGAUUUUGAGCGAAGUCCAACUCUCCGAUUUCGAGAAUUCACUUCCUUACAUUAUCAGUCUUCGCUUCACUGGGAGAUGGUUGUUCGUGCGAUCUGCAAGGAUGGAGUGAGGACGAAUCUUGCCUAUGUGGAAUCAAAAGACUUGCAACCAUAGUAUCACCUGUUGUCCUUGGUGAUGUGCUACAACGUUCAACCGACAAUUGGCGCUAAGAGGAUUUGUUGGGAUCGACUUGUUCUUCUCUAUCUACUUGGCCACCCCGAGCUCGCAGAUGGUCUAAAUCUGAACAUUCCGUUCCUUAUGUGGCAACGAAUGGUGCAUGUAAUACAGUCUUCGGUGCAACGUGAUGUCACGCCCCGGGACCCAGCGGAAGUCCGCCCAGUACGUGUCGAGACUCGCCAUACGUUAAAACAUAUAAGGCUUCUACAAAACUACUAUAAAUAAAGUGAUAAUAAAAAGACAUCUAGGAGUAUCAGAGCAUAGUACAAUAUCUAGAUUCUAAGAGAUAUAGAGGCAAAUAAAAAAGCUAACAAAUCCACUAAGAGUAACCAUAAAGUAGUACAAUAAACAUCCAAAACACAAGUGCUAAAAGUACAACAAUGGUGGUCUCUAUACAUGGAUACAAAACCUCUUAUUCUCAACUACAAAUAAAAAGAAGAGUAAACCACCUAAUAAGCAAAAGAAACGCUCCUCGCUAGCUAGCUAAGCGAUUCCCUUGCCGCGAUCCUGUGCCUCCACCGAUGUAGAGGGCUCUGAAAUAGAAUCAUAAAAUAAAGGGCGUGAGACUAUUAAAUAAUAGUUUCCAGUGGGCAAUUACUGACUUCAGUGACGCCACUAGGCCCAAAAGCUGAAAAGGGGUAAGUACGAGUAAAGCAAUAUGAACAGUAAGCAAAUAAACAUGAAAGUUUACUACAACAUGAUAUCUCUACUUAGCAUGAAUUUGUAUAAGUAAGAAUGCUACUGUACCAUAAAUAUGCAUAAGCGCAACUACUAUGACGUCCACAGAUAACUAGUAAAUUGUCAAUGUUUACUAACUUGUCAAAUUAUUCAUUUACAAAUUGAUUCCACUUGUUCCAAAUCUCAUAGGACCUACCCGUGGGUAGUCCGGCUUGCACAGUGCCUAAUGGCCCUGUGGUAGUCAACAUCCCCACUCUAGGAAUGAGCCUCCCCUACGGCAUCCCAUUUCGGCUCCGAAUCCUGCACGGGCGAGCAUGUGUCGCGAUGGCUAUCUCCGGAGUGCCGACUUGUGGGAAGUGACCCUCACAAGCAUGUGCGAAUGAGCACAAUGGUAAGCAAGCGUAAAAGUCCGUCUCGAGCCACAAGUCAUCAUGUCUAAAACAUGGAAUGUAGCAAAUCUCUCAAUGGCCUAUCUGUCACGCCCCCGACCACCCGCCUAUUUGGCCGGGUCGCGGCGCCGCAACAGAUCGCCGAACGGACAGGGUUUCCCCUGUACUGCGGACAGAGUCUCCCCUGUACGUUCAAGGCAUAGCAAUCAAUACAAUGUACAAAGUUCCAACCAGGAACACAUUUCAAUCAAGAUUGCAUAAUGGAAGGUAUCAAACAACAUAACACAUCUUAUGUUAUUACAUGCAUUCACAUUCAUACAUUUUACAUCCCAAAUACUUAUUACAUUUAACUUCCAAAUACAAUUCGAUUUAACAUGAUUAUUACAAUCCUAUUCCUUUCAUUUUCUUACAUCUUUAAGAAAAGCCGACUCAGGGUACCGCUAUCUCUGGUCUUGGUGGUAGGGCGCUAACUAUGAUGCUACGCCCUUGCCUCGCGCCGCCGCGCCGCUCACGUGUGAACCUGUAACACCCCAAAACCACGUGGGGUGAGAACCAACUCCAUGGUUCCCAGUGGGUACGGCCACCCAAGGGAAAAGCUCGACCAAUAGGUCCAAGGGAGGCAACUGCAAGUUAGUUCAAUAAACAGAUAGAUAUAUAUCUUGAUUAUGCAACGAAUAAAACCAUGCAUUGCCUCACGAAUGCAAUAAUGUAAUGCUAUAUGCAAAUCAUGCAAUAAUAACUAUGCAACCAACUAGUAGUUCAUUCGACACUACUUUCAAUUCUGCUAACCAUAGCUCAUCCAUUCGAUAUCUAAGGUUUCCUCUAUCUUUGAUUCUUGUCAAUCACCGUUUUAAUCAUAAAGUUUCAUCUACCUUUACAAGGCUAACCACCCGACUCGGUCUUGAGUCAAUCGUCUGCGGAGUACCGCACUAGAACCAGGCUCGAGGCGAUGGACGUCUCACAUACACCUCAGCCCUAAAUCCUCUCGACUAGGAUACCAAAUCCAUAAUUCAUAAUGCAUACUUGUUGUACACGCAUUUGGCUAUGACCCAAUCUUACCGGUUAACCAUGUUAACCCCAAUAACUCACUACCAAAAUCCCUUAAUAACGGAGGACUCGAACCUCCCUGGGGACCGUCAACUGGUGGGACUUUACCACGCCCAGUGGUGACCAACUCCGGAGCGCACCGCCCGAGGGGGAGCUACCUCCCUCAAGCCAAGACGUAACGUGAGUAUCGAUCCAAUCCUCAACUUGAGGAUUCAUAGCCACUCGUCACAAUGCCAAUGUCAUGAUAGGUCUCUACCUAUUUAAUCAUGCCACUCUCUAUGUCAACUUGGACCAAUGUCAAUAUGGUUAAACUAUGUUUAACAAUCACUUUCUUGAUGCCAAUCAAGUCUCUAUUGUCAUUGUUACCCUUGUUUACUAAUGUUCAAGUCCAACCCUCACAUUUACACAAUAAUAGGGUCCUAACAUACAUGAAUGACACCAGAAUAUAUACGAUCAAUCACCACAAGUGUUUGCUAGGUUCAAGAUGCUAGGUUUAAUGCCACUCGAUCUAAUAUAUAUAUAGAUUGUCCACUAUGUUCCACAACAUGGCAAUAUGUCAUCGAGUAUGUUUUUCUAUUUAACAUAAUCCACAAUAUGUAAAUUCAUAAUAUAUCAUCAUGCACAUAUACCACUAGCAUCACAUGAUUUGUCAACAUACAUAUAGUCAUUAUCCAAAAUAGUCCAUACUUAGCAUCUCAUGCAUUCUUUUAGCACUUAAUUCAUUAUGCAUUACAUUUAGCAUAUUCUACAACAUGUCAUCAUACAUUCCUUUUAUGAUGUUCUUAUAAUGCUAACAUUCAUACGCCCUUUAUAUUAUGCAUUCAAAGCAUUAAUCAUAUGCAUUUAUCUAGCAUUUCUAUAGUAUGUUAACAUGCAUUCUUUUCACAUUCUUAUAUUAUGUCAAUAUGCAUCAAUAUGAAAUCUCAUUUCUUAGACAUAAAGGGCGACCUAGUCGCUUCGGUAAGCACAACCCACCUCAUUUCGCAUUCCGAUUGCUUGUCGACACUUGCAAUCGGCCUCCCGCGGCACCCGGCACCCGGUUUGGCCCGAUCUCUCACGCGACCACCCGAACGGCCUCCAAUUCACGAUCCGAAAAUUAAAGGUCUUCGGUUAUGUGCCACGAUGCUUCAAAUCCAUUUUCAUGAAUUUACGAUAUCGCCUCGGCCCUCCCGGCGGACCCGAAGCCUAAACGUCCAUUUCUUUAAUAACUUUGUAACGGCUCGUCGGAUUGCCGAACCGUCUUCGCCAACGCGUUCGUUUACCUAGCAAUUUGGUUUACGGAGGGUCAAAUGAGAUCAAACCCAUACAUUUUACAAAACCCCAUUCGGAGCCCUAACAUGCAAUUAACCUCUAAAUAAUCCAAAUUAAAUGGAGCAAACAUGUUUAGAAUGCUCAUUAGAGGCUAUUAGAACACUUAAAACUAAGGAUUAAGCCAAAUCCUAAAAGCUUACCUCAAUGUGAACGCCGCGACGAAAACACACCGUUGCAACGGCCGCACGAAAGCCCGAACCGACGCCUCCAAUGCGUUCGCAAGCUCGCUCUCCACCAACCCUCAAAUUAUUAGAGAGAGAUUUGGAGAGAUAAGAGAGAAAUCUAGAGAGAGAAAUAAGGUUUUCUCUCCCCACACCAUGAACGCAUGGUGGUGGUGGCGGUCGGCUGCUUGAGGGAAGAAGAAGACAUGAAGUCUUCUUAUAUAGUCAACACCUCAAAACACUAUUCAUCCAGGCAACUUAAAAUCUGAUAACUUUCGCCGGAGCUCCCUGAAUGUCCGUUUGAGCUCAAACUUGACAGUCAUGUUCGGUUUUACUUAACUUAACAAGCUGACGAUCACUGGUUCAGUUUCGACCCCGUUUGGUCACUGAAAACUGUACCGAACUGCAAUCUUUAUCAGAUAGCUUUCGAAUUUUAUUUCUCACUCUACGGGUGUCAGAAAAAUAUGAAACCUUAAAUCUAGCCUCAUAAAAAUAUUUCUGACUUAUCCUCCAAUUUUCAUAAUUUUCUGAGACUGUGCAUUUUCAGCUAAUUUAUCUGUCCCGUUUCCAACAGAAAAUUCUAAAUCUUCUGUUUUCAUUCCGAUUUCAGCACAAGUCACUUCUGACUUAUGUUUUACUUCUACAAAUCCAAUAAAAAUAGUUUUCCACACUAUUUUUAUUUAUUUUUUUAUUUUUUUAUACCAAAAUCUGGUAUGUUACACUAUCACUAUGUCAUCAUGUCUAAAACAUGGAAUAUAGUCGAUGUCACAAUGGCCUAUCACUAUAUCUCUAUGUUGUAGUUUUACAGUUUACUAGUUCGGUGCUCCUUUAUGGCACUUUUGUUCACUUUGCCCAAACAUGAGUUUAGUGUUCAAGAAUACAUAAUUCGAGUCAUUUUUAUCAUAGAGGACAUAUUUCCAACUUACAAUAUAGAAUACUUUUCACAUGCAUGCCUAAUACACAUAUAGCUCUACUAUAUAGAGUUGAGUUUUCACGAUACAUAACACAUGAAUUUUAAGUAUCCUAAAAUUCAUAAAAAUUCUAUCUAGCAUGAAUAUGCAUACAUUUCGAUGAUACGACAAGUAUAAAACACAUAGGGGAUAUUUCUCCCCUAUUUCAUGAAGUCAAACCCACCGUGACUUCUCGAAACCCUUCGUUUGCGCCGACGAAGGUGUCCGCUACUCUCCUAGUACCCUAAAGGUAACAAAAUGAGGGAUAUACGAACGUUACGAACAAUCAUAAGCUCAAACAUUAAGCAACUCAAGCAUAGGUGAAGGAAACUCACCGAAUGUGAAGAAAACCCCUCACGAUCUCCAAAAGGGAGUUAGAGGCCUUCUAAUCCAACCUAAACAAAGGUUCUACGAAGAUCAAUUGGGCUCCAAAACUCUCAAAUCCAAAAUCCCCAUUACUAACCCUACUAUGCUCAAUCUAGGGUUUCCUUAGUAAAAGCGACUAAAACAUGAAUCAAGAAGUAGAUUAGGCUUACUAACCUCACAAGAGCUCCAAAACAAGGCUCCAAGUAAGUUAGGGUUGAAGAUCCUCCCUCCACAAAGCUCCAAUCACGAGCUCAGGACUUCUCCCAUGGUAGAAACCAACAAGAAGUAAGAAGAGGCAAAGAGGAGGAGAUCAAAAACUAGCUAAAACCAUCAAAAAUGGAGAAGAAAUCAAAGGGAAGGAGGCUCACCUUGUUCUCCACUGGUUAGGGCUCAAAAAAGCUGUCAAAGGGGGCUGGGGUGGGUUAUAUAGAGUUUGUAACAAUUGUAAAUACACCCCUCCGCAAAAACAGCUCGCACUGCAUUGUGUACUGGUACACGAAAAAGUGUACCGGUACAAAUCCUGCGAGACAGCAAACCCGAGCCUCGGGUUGGCCAUUCACCACAUCUAUACCGGUACAACCAUCAAGGUCUACCGGUACACUUUUGUACCGGUACAACCAUCAAGUGUUAAGUCUUGUGUGUUCGCAAGUUUCGUGAAGUGACUCGGAGUCUUGAUGGAUCGAUGCGUAUCGUCGAAGAUCGAAGAGUCCAAGACUUCGAAGAAAGCAGAAUUAACUCACUAUGUGAAUCACGAUGCCCAGGUAAGCUUUUAAUUCAUGUUAUGGUGAUUCAUACUUAGUUGUAGGCAUAUAUUAGAAUCAUAAUACCAAAGUUUACUGGAUUAGAAAGUGUGUUGGUACUUUGCAAAACCCAAAACCGUGCAAAAAAUAAGUUUUUGCAAAGUGUACUGGUACAACAUCAGAAGUGUACCAGUACACAUUCUGUUUCGGUACAACCAGUGACUUGUCACCGGUUACAGUAUUACGCAGGUUUUCUCUUCUAUUAUCGUGUAACCGGUAAUAGCUUAAAGUGUAUCGAUACACAAUGUAAUUUUCGGAAAAAUUUUCCAACCCGACUCUAAUUGAUUCUAAAGUCUAUAAAUAAGCUAUUGGGGUUCUCUAACUCAUCAAGCAUCACGAAAAUACAUGUUUGAGAAACCCUAGAGGCUCGGAUUUCAUCUAAAACCUAUUUUCUACAUAUUAGCCUCUUUUAGGUCAAAUUGAGAUAUUAGAAUUUCAUAUCUAUAUGUCGAUUUGAUCUUCACUUCGCUUGGAGUUCACUUCCCUGAUUUUCAUCGAUACUCUAAGCGAAGGAUCACUGUACACAUGAUGUUCUUCAUGACGGCGUCGUGGAUUCAGCGUGAUUGACGGCGGUUCGUGGAUUCGGAUCGUGAGCUUCGUGGAUUCGGAGUGGAGGCGUUUUGUGGAUUCGGAACGUGGCGUUCGUGGAGUCGAACGUGGGGGCGUGGACAACCCAGAGGAUUGCGCGAGAUUCAUAAGAGAUUAAGAGAGGUCGAGUCCGUGGAGUCGGUAAUCACCUUGUAAUCUUUUCUCUUAGUGAAUUAUUUUUUCACGUGUUGGUCCCGUGGGUUUUUCUCCAAGUUGGAGUUUUUCCACGUAAAUCUCGGUGUGAUUUUUAUUUUCCGCAUUUAUUUUUAUCGCGUUGAGAUUUGUGGUUUUUGGCCGUUACACCUAUUCACCCCCCUCUAGGUGUUAGAUACAAUCUAAAUAGAUCCUUGGGCUCCUCAAACUUUCAAUUGGUAUCAGAGCGGGAUCUAGAUAAAUUGUUAUCUAAUGGCCGAAGGCGGUAACAUUAAUCGACCACUACUCUUCAAUGGCACGAAUUAUGCCUAUUGGAAAGUUCGCAUGAGAGCUUUUCUAAUCGCAAUCGAUGAGCGGCUGUGGAAAGCUAUUGAAUUCGGAUGAAAACAUCCUACCGAAGUUGUCGAUGGUGCUACCGUCCCUAAACCGCGGAACAAGUGGACAAAAGAUGAGAACGAGUCAUCUUCGUUUAACGACAAGGGCAUAAACGCUUUAUUUAACGCAUUGUCGCAAACGGAGUUUACUCAAGUAUCGGCAUGUGAAACAGCAAGGAAAAUUUGGGAUACUCUACAAGUUACGCAUGAAGGAACUAGCUUGGUAAAGGUUUAAAAAUUACAAAUGUUGACAAGCAAAUUUGACUCAAUUUUUAUGGAAGAAAACAAGAUCUUUACCGAGUACUAUACUCGAUUUCAAGACAUUGUUAAUACAUGCGCUAACUUGGAAGAGAGAAUCCCGGAUUCUAAGAUUGUUCGAAAAAUUCUUGACUCUUCCGGAACGCUUUCGGGCAAAAGUUGCCGCGAUCGAAACUGUUAAGCAUCCGGACGAGAUGAAAGUCGAAGAGUUAGUAGGUGCUUUGCAAACUUAUGAGAUGACUUUUCCUACUAAUCAAUCUUCUUCGAAGUCUUUUUCUAAAAGUAAAGGGAUUGCACUCAAAUCGACAAAGAAAGAAGACGACAACUCGGAUUCCGACGGAGAUAUUUCGCUCGCCAAUUUCGAACAUCAAUUAGCGCUCCUAACGAAGAAGUUCCGACGGAAUUUUCGGAAGAUUAAAUCGGACAAGGCUUUAUCGUCUAAGCAACAAUCUUUUUCUAAAUCAUCUUCAUCUUCUAAAUCUAAGGAUAAGAAAUUUGCAAAAUCUUCAAAAGAAAAAGAUGAAUUUGAAGGGAAAAUCCAAUGCUACAAAUGUAAAGGCUACGGUCACAUUACGACGGAUUGUCCUUCUAAGAAAACCUUUAGACCGAAGGCUUUGCAAGCGAAAACUUAGGAUGAUUCAACUUCAAGUGAAUCAUCUUCAAGUGACGAAGAAAAGAAUGAUUUGCUUUGUUUACUAAUACCUCUUUACCUUCGUCUAACGUUGUUUGUUUUUCCUCAAUUGUUUCUAAUUCUAGUAUUUCUCCUUCCUUGCAUGGGUCUUUAAGCGAUAACGGCGAAAGCGAGGAGGAAUCAAACGACGAGGAUAUAGCGGAAGCGUAUAAUCAACUCCUUAUUGAAUCCAAAAAGAUGACGAAACUUAAUAAGAAGUUGAGGCGUCGUUUGUUGGAUAUCGAAGAGGAAAACAACAACUUGAAGAUAAUGAAUAAAGCACUUGAGGAGGAAAAGGAAUCGAUUUCGAAGAAUAAUUUGAUCCUCCAAGAGAAGCUUGAUGAAGCGGAUUCAACAAUCAAAUCAUCUAAAAACAAGAUUGGAUUUUUGGAGCAUCAAUUUGAGGAAUCGCACAAAUCCAAUCAAUCCUUGACCGAUAAAGUUCGUCAACUAAAAUCCGAUAUUCAAAAAUUCUCUUCGGGAUCGAGAAGAAGUUGGACCAUAUGCUCGGGUUGGGUCAAACGAAUAAGUUGGGCCUCGGAUAUGAAAGAACAUGUGUUGAGAAGGUUUCAAAAUCAACUUCUAAAGUCUCAACAACUUUGAAAGAGGAGGUGUGUCAUCAAUGUGGCAUCAAAGGACACAUCAAAAGAAGUUGCCUGGAAAAGGGAAAGAAGAAUCAAUCAGCAACUUCGAAACAUCAAGCGGUACCCUCGUCUACUCGACUUCCUCCACGGAAUCAAAAGAAAAAUCAAUUAAGUCGAGCACCUCGAGGUAACCGAUUUUCUCGCACGCAAUGUCAAGUUCAACCGAACCUACAUGCAAACCGGACUUCAAAGUCUCAUCAACAAGUUCAAUCGAAGUCACCCACAACAAAACAACCAAAGGUGGAUCAAAAAUCAAAGCAAACGGCACCUAACGUCAACAAGCCGAGACAACCAACGAUCCGACAAGUGUGGAUCCGGAAAGGUGACAUCUUUCCUUGUUUUUCAUCUUAGUUUGUUUUGAUUAUUUAUGUAAUGCUUUGUUUGGUGCUUAUUGCAUAUUUUUUAUUCAUUUACAUGAUGAUUUUCGUGUGUGAAAUUUGUUUUGAGGAAAGGUGUUUGGAAAUUUAAAAUUUUUUCUUUGAGAAAGGAGACGAUUGAAAAUCUUUAUUGUGGAGAGGUUAGAAUUUUUCAAAGUGCCUUAACCGGAAUUCAUCUUGAAUUAAAUUCAUAUUAAUUAUCGGUUUUACUCCACUUUUUAUUAUUUUGACGAUAAUUGAUUAUAUGAAUUCUUAAUACAUAUAUUCAUCAAAAUUGUGAAAUCAAGUUUGAUCUUUUGGUGAUUAAUUCAUCUUUGUUGUAUGUGUUGAACAUGAUGGAUGGAUAUUCACUAAUCGACUAAAAUUUUGUCAAAAUUAUUUUCAAUUGUGAGAUUGUCUAAUUAAGGGAUAGUUUUGAAGUAUUAAAAAAAAAAUGAUACUCCUAUGUUUAAAAGAUGUGGAAAAAGUUACAUUCUAAAAAGGAGUGUGAAAACUACCACCACAUGUAGGAAAGAGCUACCACCCCGGUCGUCCGGUAAGUGUGUGAAGCUACCACAUGGAAUUUAAUUAAAAAGCCAAAACAGUUAAAAAAAAUGAAUAUUUUAGAAUUUUCGGAGUUAUAAGGUGAUAGGAUGAAAACAUGCUCAAAGAGCCACUCCCGGUGCCAUAUUAGUUAAAUCUCUAUUUUGAAAGAAUUGCGACAAAUUGGUGUCAAUUUUAUUGAAUUUCUAAAAAUCAUUUUUCAUCAACAUACAUCUUGAUGGGUUUGAAACAUUAGGUUAUUUUUUAUUUCAAAUUUUUAUGUUUCGAUGUAUUUUGACCAUAUAAGAGUUUAUUUUCAUCAUAAUGAUUUUUGGAGUACAAUUCUUAAUUUUUAUGACAUUAAUUUAAUUUUGAAGAGUUUUUGAAGGAAAAAUUUUAAAAUUUUCGAAAUCUGCGAAAGUGUACCGGUACAAAAUAACGUGUAUCGGUACAAAACACUUAUACCGCGUUAUUAUAACCGGUUACAGGGCUCGGUUCUCUUUCAAAUCUUAAUCAAAAUCUCUCCUCUCUCUCUCUAAAAUUCCCUGGUGCCUUCCUCCUUCAGAUCCACGUGUUUCCUCUCUAGACCUGUAAGUAUUUCUUUCAGAUUUGCUUAUUUCAUCCCGGUUUUGCAAUUUUUUCAAAAUUUUCCGAGUUGAAGCAUGAUCUCUAUUCUUAAUCGGUUUUUAUGCAAUUUUUUGCUGUGAAUCAGUAUUUAGACAUAUAAUCUUGCUUCUAAAACACUUAGAUCAGGUUAUAACGCUGUAUUUUUUGCUGAUCUGUAAUCUGUACCUCAAUAUACAUGAAAUUUUGAAAUUUUUAAUAAAAUAUCGUUUUUUGAUGAAAAUUUGUGCAUGAUUCUGUUAGAAAUAGCGUUAUUCUGCUUUCUAAUAAUAUUAGAAUUUUUUUUUCACUAUUUUUAGCGAAUUUUUCAAAUUUUAUUUAUGCACGGCUCACUUUUUGUAUAGGAUCAAUGGCAUUCUCGCUGGUUUUACUGCUUUUGGUGCUGAUGGCCACUGGUCGUGGUCGUGGGCGUGGCCGCGGGCGUCGAGGGACGUCCAAAAGGACUCAUACUACAGGCGAGUCACCCGGGUCUAAUCCGGAUUACCAGGCAUGUUCGCCUGAGGCUACUGAAAAACUGACUGCUUGAGUUGAUAAAGGAAAAGGAAUAGCUGGUGAAUCCUCCCGCGGAGGUGGCGCUCGUGCACGAGAGACACGAUCAAAGCAAGCCGCGGAUGUUCUACUGGAGCGGCGGAGGACAUUUCGAGCAGGUCAUGCAUUGCUGAGCGAUAUGUCAACUUCCAUGAACUAAUCCAAGAGGUUCCAGAUUUUGGUUGCUUACUUCAGAGGGUCCCCAUUGAGCCAGUUGGACGUGUUCCAGCUCGAUCUCCUUUUUGUGUGGAACUCAUUCGGGAGUUCUACAUGAAUGGGAAGAUGUGUGCUGAGGACGAAAAGACCGGGACUUAUCUUCUUGAGACCUAUGUACGUUGGGAGAGGGUUCUAGUCACUCCGCACACGAUUGGAGAGUUGUUGGGCAUAUAUGUGGACACGACAGGACUUCAUCAUACUACUGGGAUUUAUCAGUUUUCGUCUCACUGGGAGACAGUUGUUCGUGCGAUCUGCAAGGAUGGAGUGCGAAAAAAUCAUGCAUACGUGGAAUCCAAGGACAUGCGACCCGAGUAUCAUUUACUCUCCUUGGUGAUGUGCUACAAUGUUCAACCUACAAUUGGAACAAAAAGGAUUCGUUGGGAUUGUCUGGUGCUUCUAUAUCUUCUUGGACAUCCUGAGCAAGCGGACGGGUUAAACAUCAAUAUUCCCUUUCUGAUGUGGCAAAGAAUGGCACAUGUUAUACAGUCUCUAAUUCGACGUGAUCUACUUCCGUUUCCGUUGUUGAUCACGAGGAUUCUGCAAGAAUACAGAGUUGACGUGUCGUGUGAGAAGUACGACACUGGCCUUGGACCGAUCGAUGCAGUAACUUGGGCCAAGUCCGUGAGCACCUUGAAGACAUUUCAGCAAACAAAGGGAUCUUCCAGAGCAGCUUCCAGUUCCGCACCUCCACGUCAUGCAGAGCGCAAGGGAUCUUCGAGCUCAGGGGGAAGUGAUUAUUGUAGAAUCACUUCAUCAUGAGGUGCGAUCAUUAGAGAAGAAGGUGGCAAAUCUUGCUAAGAAGGUGGAGGUGGGUAUGAAGAGGAUAUUGGAGAAACUUGGGUAUAGGCAUGACGACAUUUUUCUUACUCAGCCUGCCUACACCACCUACACGAGAUCGACUUCGUGACAUCCACUAAUUCCACCAUCCACCGGUACUCCUGAGGCUGGGGGAUCUGGAGCUGGAGCUGGAGACGAUGAUGAUGAUGAUGAUGAUGAUGACGAGGACACUGAGUGACUUCGUCCUCGAGCUCUGUUUUUCUACUUUGCUUUUUAGGAUGAUGUUUAGUUUAGUUGUGCUUGUUGCUUUACUUUGCUUUUGCAUUUAUUUUCUUUUAGACCUGUAACUAUAACAUGACUACUCUUAUGCUUUCUAGUAUACUUUUUCUAUUUAUAUGCUUUGUCUUUGGCAAUUUUUUGACAAAAAGGGGGAGAGCAAUGAUCUAGUAUGCUUUUUCUAUUUAUAUGCUUUGUCUUUGGCAAUUUUUUGACAAAAAGGGGGAGAGCAAUGAUCUAGUAUGCUUUUUCUAUUUAUAUGCUUUGUCUUUGGCAAUUUUUUGACAAAAAGGGGGAGAGCAAUGAUGAACAGGUAUUGAUCAUAGCAAAGGAGAAGAAGGAAUAAAGAACAAAGGAGAAGAAGGAAUAAAGAACAAAGGGGGAGAAGGAGUGAAAUUCCGAGGAAAAGAAGGAAUGAAAAUUUGAGAACAAUGAAUGUAAGAAUGUCCAAUGAUCUCAACUUUCUAUAUCAUUUGGGAUGAAUUGUUUUGCAGAAAAUCAAGACUUCAAGACUCCUAGUUGCGUCUAAGUCAUAGAGUCUGUUAUAGGAGUUUUUGAUGUACUUUUGAGUUUCAAAUUGUAUUUCAAGACUCCUAGUUGCGUCUAAGUCAUAGAGUCUGUUAUAGGAGUUUUUGAUGUACUUUUGAGUUUCAAAUUGUAUUUCAAGACUCCUAGUUGCGUCUAAGUCAUAGAGUCUGUUAUAGGAGUUCAAUAUUUUGGUGAUGACAAUUGAACUUCGAUUCUUAUUAUGUAAUUUUGAGUUUGUAAGUUUUGUCACAAAAUUGCCAAAGAGGGAGAUUGUUAAGUCUUGUAUGUUGGCAAGUUUCGUGAAGUGCGUCGGAGUCUUGAAGGAUCGGUGCGUAUCGUCGAAGAUCGAAGAAUUCAAGACUUCGAAGAAAGCGGAAUUAACUCACUAUGUGAAUCACGAUGCCCAGGUAAGCUUUUAAUUCAUGUUAUGGUGAUUCAUACAUAGUUGUAGGCAUUGGUGUCACGCCCCCGACCGCACUACCCGAAAACAGUACCAAUUUGGUCCGUUUCGAGGGCGGCGUGCGUGAUGCCGAACGGACGGAGUUUCCCCUGUCCGUCCAAGGCUGAGCAACAGAUUGUGUACAACAAGUCCCCAGAAAAAACAACUUGCAUUCAUACACAAUCAACAACGAAACGAGAGCACAAACAGUGCUACAACCAACUAGAGCAAGCGAUACAAGUAAAAUCAUACAAGUAUACAAAAGAGAGAAACUUAACUAUUUGAAUCAUCAUUGAAACAUUUAACCUCUUUCGAUAUCAUUUAAACUUUAAUCAUUUAGUACAACUUGCAUUCUUUCUCAAAACGAAAAUACUUCAUAUACUCUCCAAAAUCUCACCCUAUAUAACAUCUACUCUCAAGGGUAUAAAACAAAAGUACAAGGUGGUGCUAAUGCAAGUAGGUAAAGUAAGCUAUCUACCAAAAGCUAGGGCGCUAUGCCCUUACCGCGAUUCAUCGAUGAAGGCCCGCUGUCCUGUGUACCUGUACCCCCAAAACCACACGGGGGUGAGAACUACGAAUAGUUCCCAGUGGGUUCGGCCGCCGACUCCGCCGAUCUACCCACUAGGUCUUAAGCAGGCAUAGAGAGAUAAAUAUAUGCAAUAUGUAUAAAGCUAGACUGAACUGAAAGCAGGUAUGUAAAACAACUAUAGCAAGUUAUGCCUCAAUCCGGAGUCGUGUAUGUAUGAACAAUAAAUAGUAGGGUAAGCAACUACUAUAAACAUCUACAACAACUAUCAUAGUAAGCUAUAAAACAUGCUACUAGAAAAGCAAGUAAGCUGAUAUGAACAAUGAAUAGCUACUAUGAACAUCAAUCGUCGGUAAAACUCAAUGGGUAACCCAAUCCUCAAGUGAACACAAGGUUCACAAGCAAAGCUCACAUAUCGACCUCCGAGGGAUGCCUAGCUGGACUAUCCCCGAGUACGCCUGCGGAUAACAAGCGGCUAUCCGAGCAGCAAGCAGGGCUGCCUCUCUAGUGACCAACUCCGGAGCGCACAACUUGAGGGGAGCGACCCCACCAAGCGCAGACAGGCUAUGUGAGCAAGAUCAUCUCACGAGGAACAACAACCCUUUUAGGGUAAUCUUAGCAUAGAUCAACAAUUCAUGUACCCAAUGUCAUAGUGUCUCAACUACACUAAUAUGAUCAUCUCAAGUAACGUCAAACAUGUGCCACUCAAUCAUAGUUUUCUAACUAGAUGCCACUCGUCAUUUAGACUCAUCAUCACACUACUACAUCAUACUAGUUCUUUAGCAACAUAAGCACUAAUCAUCUCACAUAGGGUCUAGGUUUUUCUCAAAUAAUCAUCAUGCAUACUAGAUCAUGAACCAACCAAGCAAGUAAUUUGAACUACUAGCAUGCAAGUGUAAGCAAUAAUAUCCAUCUCUAGCCCUAUAUGAAUAUGUCACAAUAUGCGAAAGAUCGAUAUUUAAACUUAGAUAGAAGGUAGCCCGAUGACUUCGGGAUGGACUCCCCACCUUAGGUGAUGCCAAAAACACUCCGAGACGCGCUCUCGUGCUAGUCUUGUCGCCGCUUAAUUUUUGUUGGGUUAGCUUUACAUUUAGCGCUUCAAAUGGCGAUAUCUUCGCAGCUCGCUUCUGUAUCGUCGAACCGUCUUUCCCUACGCGUUCGGAAGCAUAGAAAUUAGGUUUCUAACCCCUCAAAAGAGAUCAAACCCUUAUAUUUCCAAAAACCCCAAAUCUAACCCUAGGUUUAGCACCCAUGGGAAUCCAUGAUUUCUAGCCUCAUUGUGAGCUAGAUCCAUGUUCUCUAAGCUUAUUAGGUUCCAUUUGAACCAUUAAAACCAACAAAACCCCUAAACCCUAGAAAUCCAAAAAAACUAGGGUUAGAGCUUACCUUAGGUUUUGCUCCAAAGAAGGCCCAAGCUUGAUGGAGAGGAGAGAAAGGAGCUUUAUCUUCUUCUCCUUGAUCUUCUCUUCCUUUUCUUCCUUCUCUUUUCUUCUUCUCUUCUCUUUUCUUCUUCAACCGGUUAGAGAGAGAGAGGGAGCUAGAGAGAGAGAGAGGCUGUGAGAGUGAGAGAGGAGAGAGCUGAGAGUGAGAGGAAUAAGUCCUCUAUUGUAACAAUAUGCUAAAAAGCCCUCCUUUUAUCAGAUUUGCAACUUAACCCGCUGCUGCCGCGCCCUUGUACCGGUACACGGGAUCUUGUUCCGGUACAAGACCUGGGCGACAGCAAAAACAGAGCGCAAACCCGAGAGCUCGGGUCUCGGUUUCAUCGGGUUUGUACCGGUACAAGCCCCUUGUACCGGUACAGCACCUGAAGCCUUCAAACCCGAGAGCUGCGCAGGCAGGCUGCGAUGGUUGUACCGGUACAGCCAUCACCCUUGUACCGGUACAGCAGCUCCAGAAAGCUGUUUUAACUCUGUUUCGGCUCCACUUCACGCCGAUCGAUGUCCAAACCAUUCCAACACCUUUAGAACUCAUUUUUGGUCUUCCAAAUUUGUCGGAAUACCGAAUGGAACUUGUCCGAACAUUCGAUUGCUCACUUUGGUCCAUUGUGCCAAAGUUAGCCGUUUUCGUCGAAUUUCGAUAUCUUACAAUUGGAAUCAUAAUACCAAGGUUUAUUGGAUUAGAAAGUGCGUUGGUACUUUGCAAAACCCGAAACCGUGAAAAAAAUACGUUUUUGCAAAGUGUACCGGUACAACAUCGGAAGUGUACCGGUACACAUUCUGUUCCGGUACAACUAGCGACUUGUCACCGAUUACAGCAUUACAUAGGUUUUCUCUUCCGUCAUCGUGUAACCGGUAACAACUUAAAGUGUACCGGAACACAAUAUAAUUUUCGGAAAAACUUUCUAAUCCGACUCUAAUUGAUUCUAAAGUCUAUAAAUAAGCUAUUGGGGUUCUCUAACUCAUCAAGCAUCAUGAAAAUAUAUGUUUGAGAAACCCUAGAGGCUCGGAUUUCAUCUAAAACAUAUUUUCUACAUAUUAGCCUCUUUUAGGUCAAAUCCAGAUAUUGGAAUUUCAUAUCUAUAUGUCGAUUUGAUCUUCACAUCGCUUCAGUUCACUUCCCUGGUUUUCAUCGAUACUCUAAGCGAAAGAUCACCGUACACAUGAUGUUCUUCAUGACGGCGUCGUGGAUUCGGCGUGAUUAACGGCGGUUCGUGGAGUCGGAUCGUGAGCUUCGUGGAUUCGGAGUGUAAGUAUUUCGUGGAUUCGGAACGUGGCGUUCGUGGAGUCGAACGUGAGAGCGUGGACAACCCAGAGGAUUCCGCGAGAUUCAUAAGAGGUUAAGAGAGGUCGAGUCUGUGGAGUCGGUAAUCACAUUAUAAUCUUUUCUCUUAGUAAAUAUUUUUCGCGUGUUGGUCCCAUGGGUUUUUCUCCAAGUUGGAUUUUUUUCACGUAAAUCUUGGUGUGAUUUUUAUUUUUCGCAUUUAUUUUUAUCGCAUUGAGAUUUGUGGUUUUUGCCCGUUACACCUAUUCACCCCCCUCUAGGUAUUGUAUACAAUCUAGAUAGAUCCUUGGGCUCCUCAAACUUUCAUCAAGGCUGUACCGGUACACAGCCCUGCUGAGGUAACCCGAGAGCAGACCUAAAAAUCCAAUCUUUUGGAUUUUGGUGCCAAGUUUUAAAUCUCAAUUCUCGGGAUACUUGCCAUAAGUCAGAACACUGUCAACGACCAUCCAGAAUAUCUGAAAAACUCAGAACACAGAUCAAACACUCAAACCUCGCAAUUUGCUAAGGUCCAGUGCGUUACAUUCACCCCUCCUAAAAAGGAGUUUCGUCUGCGAAACUCAAAAGCAACGUACCUCAAGACUCCAUCUGAAAGAGAUGGGAAUAACGCUCCUACAAAGCGCUCUCAAGCUCCCAUGUGGCCUCUCGCUCAUCGUGGUUGCUCCAAAGAACCUUCAUGUGAGAUAUCGAAAUUUGACGAUAUUGGCUAACUUUGGCCAAAUGGGCCAAAGUGGGCGAUUGAACGAUUUGUACAAGUUCCAUUCGGCAUUCCAACAGAUUUGGAAGAGCAAAAAAUGAGUUCUAAAGGUGUUGGAAUGGUUUUGACAUCGAUCGGCGUGAAAUGGAGCCGAAACAAAGCGAAAACAACAUUCUGGAGCUGUUGUACCGGUACAAGAGUGAUGGUUGUACCGGUACAACCAUCGCAGCUCUCGGUUUGGGGGGCUGCCAGGCCUUGUACCGGAACAAGGGGAGCUUGUACCGGUACAAGCACUGCGCAACCGAGAAACCGAGCCUCGGGUUGGGCUGUCUGCCAGGCCUUGUACCGGUACAAGAAACCGUGUACUGGUACAAGGGACCCGAAACUGUAGGUCAAGUUGGAAAAUUAGAUUUUUGAGGGGGCUUUUGGGAUUUUGUUACAAUAGAGGGCUAUAUCCCCCCUUUCUCAGCCACUCCUUCUCACACUUAGCUCUCUCUCUCUCUCUCACAUUGCUCUCUCUCCCUCUAACCGUAGAAGAAGGAGAGGAAGAAAAGAAGGAAAGAAAGAAAGAGAAGAAGAAGGAAAGGAAGGAGAAGAUCAAGGAGAGGAAAGUGAAGCUCUCUCCCUCCUUAUUCUCAAGCUAGGGCUUGCUUUGGAGCAAACCCUAGAGGUAAGCCUCAACCCCAACUUGUGAAUCUUGGGUUUUGGGAGGUUUUUAUUGGUUUUAAUGGUUCAAAUAGAACCUAAUGAGCUUAGAGAUCAUGGAUUUAGCUCACAAUGAAGCUAGAAACCAUUGCUUCCCAUGGGUGCUAAACCUAGGGCUUGAUUUUGGGAUUUUUGAAAGUAUGAGGGAUUGAUCUCUUUUGAUGGGUUAGAAACCUAAUUCUUAUGCUUAUAAACGCGUAGGCGAAGACGGUUCGUUGAUCCGUCGAGUGAGUGCGGAGAUAUCGCCGAUUAGAGUGCUCUAGGGUUCGUUUUGACCCGAGGUGUUGAAGCGGCGCACGUGGACCGCGACGCCGAGUUUAGUAGCUCUACGAUACUACCACAAGGUGGGUGGUGACCAUCCCGAAGCAAUCGGGAUACCUUCUAUGUCUAAGUUUAAUAUCGAUCUAUUUGCAUAUUGUGCAUAUCCAUAUAGGGCUAGAGAUAGAUGUUAUUGCUUAUACUUGCAUGCUAGUAGCUCAAUAUAUCUUGCUUGGUUGGUUCAUGAUCUAGUAUGCAUGAUGAUUACUUGAUAAAAAUCUAGACCCUAUAUGAGAUGAUUAAUGCUUAUGUUGCUAAAGAACUAGUAUGAUGUAACUAGUGUUGAUGAUGAGUCUAAAUGACGAGUGGCAUCUAGUUAGAAAACUAUGAUGAGUGGCAUAUGAUUGUUGAUGACCGUGACAUGAGAAUAUUAGUGUAGUUGAAACACUAUGAGAUUGGGUAUAAGUAUUGUUAGGUCCUAUGUGUUGGCAAGUUUCGUGGGUCGAGUCGGAGUCUUGAAGAAGUCGGGAGCGGAGGAUUGAAGAUCGAAGAAUCCAAGACUUCGAAGAAUCGGAAAGGACGCAAAACACGCAAAACUUGAAUCACGAUGCAUAGGUAAGUUUUAAAUCUUGUUUAUGGUGAUUUAUACUUAUUUAUAGAUCUUAGAAUCAUAUUUUCAAAUUGUAAUUGAUUAGAAAGUUUCUAAGAGUUUGUAAAACCCAAAACAAUGCAUUUUCAGCGAAAAUUGCAUUGCUGUUCCGGUACAAGGGUUUUCUGUCAAGGGUACAGCCAUCAACGUUUGCGCAGAAAGUUUGAUGAUUGUUCCGGUACAAGGGUUUUCUGUCCAGGGUACAGCCAUCAACAUUUGCGCAGAAAGUUUGAUGGUUGUUCCGGUACAAGCUUCAUGCUGUACCGGUACAAGCCCUGUUCCGGAACAAGCUAAAGCUAUCCAGGGUACAGGAGCUUCGAAGAAAAAUUUCCGUCAUGGUGUAACCCUGGAAAGCUUUCCCUUGUUCCGCGUACAAGGUGCUAGAUUUGGAAAGAAACUUUCUAAUCCUACUCUGUUUAAUCCUACUCUGUUUUGAUUCUAAAGUCUAUAAAUAAGCUAUAGGGGUUCUCUAAUUGAUUAAGCAUCAGAAAAUACAUAUUUGAGAAACGCCUAAGAGCUUCGGAUUUCAUCAAAAACCUAUUUCUACAAAAAGCCUCUUUUAGACAAAUCGAGAUAUUGAAAUUUGAUAUUAAUAUGUCGAUUUGAUCUCCGCUCGCUUGGAGUUCUAUUCCUGGUUUUCUAUGAUACUCCAAAGCGAAGGAUCACCAUAUUCAUGAUAUUCUUCAUGGUGGCGUCGUGGAUUCGGCGUAUUUGACGGCGUUCGUGAUUCGGAUCGUGGCUUCGUGGAUUCGAGUGCGUCGUGGAUUCGGCGUGAUGGCUUCGUGAUUCGAAGUAGAGGCGUUCGUGGAUUGGACGUGAGGGCGUGGAACAACCCGGAGGGUAGCGCGAAGAUUCAUAGGAGGUUAAAGAAGGUUGAGUCCGUGGAGUCGGUAAUCACCUUGUAAAUCUUUUCUCUUAGUGAAUUAUUUUUUCGCGGUGUUGGUCCCGUGGUUUUUCUCCAAAGUUGGAGUUUUCCCACGUAAAUCUCGUGUGCUUUAUUAUUUUUCGCAUUAUUUUUAUUGCAUCGAGAUUUGUGGUUUUGGCCGUUCACGCUAUUCACCCCCUCUUAGGUGAUAGAUACAAUCUAGAUAGAUCCUUGGCUCCUCAAAACUUUGUCAAUUGUAUCAGAGCGGGAUCUAGAUAAAUUGUUAUCUAAUGGCCGAAGGUGGUAACAUUAAUCGACCUCCUGCUCUUCGACGGCACGAAUUAAUGCUUAUUGGAAAGUUCGCAUGAGAGCUUUUCUAAUUGCUAUCGAUGAGCGGGUUUGGCAAUCAAUUGAAUUUGGGUGGAAACAUCCGAUAGAAAAGGUCGAUAAUGUUGAAAAGCCAAAACCACGGAACAAAUGGACGAAAGAAGAAAACGAGUCAUCUUCGUUUAACGCAAGGGCAUAAACUCCUUAUUUAAUGCAUUGUCUCAAACGGAAUUUACUCGUGUUUCGGCAUGCGAAACGGCAAAGGAAAUUUGGGAUACUCUACAAGUUACGCAUGAAGGAACGAGCUUAGUAAAGGUCCAAAAAUUGCAAAUGCUAACUAGCAAGUUUGAUUCAAUUUCUAUGGACGAAAAUGAGACCUUUACCGAGUACUAUACACGUCUACAAGAUGUCGUGAACACAUGUGCUAACUUGGGAGAGAAAAUCCCGGAUUCAAAGGUUGUUCGUAAAAUUCUUCGAACUCUUCCGGAACGCUUUCGGGCAAAGGUCGCCGCAAUCGAAACGGUCAAGCAUCCGGACGAGAUGAAAGUAGAAGAAUUAGUAGGAGCUUUACAAACGUAUGAAAUGACUUUUCCUACUAAUCAAUCUUCUUCCAAGUCUUCUUCUAAAAGCACAGGUGUUGCAUUGAAAUCUACAAAGGAGAAGGACGAAGACUCGAGUUCCGACGAUGACUUAUCAAUUGCGGACUUUGAACAACAAUUGGCACUCCUCACGAAGAAGUUUCGUCGAAAUUUCUGGAACAAGAAUAGAUUGGACAAGACUUCAUCGUCUAAGCGACAAUCUUUGUCUAAAUCAUCUUCGUCUUCAAAGUCUAAGGAUAAAAACCGUGCAAAGUCCUCAAAAGAAAAGGAUGUCUUUGAAGGAGAGAUCCAAUGCUUCAAGUGCAAAGGCUACGGUCACAUUGCUACGGAUUGUCCUUCAAAGAAGACGUAUAAACAAAAGGCUAUGCAAGCAAAGACGUGGGAUGAUUCGACAUCAAGUGAAUCAUCGUCAAGUGACGAAGAGAAGAAUGAUCAAAUCGCCUUAUUUGCUAAUACACCUUCGUCGAAUGUUAUGUGUUUAUCCUCUAUCGCUACUAAUUCUAAUGUUUCUUUUUCCUCGCAUGAUUCAUCGAGCGACAACGACGAAAGCGGGGAGGAUUCGAACGACGAAGAUAUAGCGGAAGCUUACAACCUACUUCUUAUUGAAUCAAAGAAGAUGGCUAAAUUAAAUAAGAAGUUGAGGCGUCGUAUGUUGAAUCUUGAAGAGGAUAACAACAACUUGAAAAUCACGAACAAAGCUCUCGAGGAGGAAAGGGAAUCAAUUUUGAAAAUGAAUUCGGACCUCCUCGAGAAGCUUAAUGAAGCGGAAUCAACGAUCAAAUCAUAUAAAGACAAGGUUGGAUUUUUGGAGCAACAAUUCGAUGGAAUCAAAACAUCCAACCAAGUCUUGACCGAUCAAGAUUCGUCACUUCAAUCCGACAUUCACGUUUUUCUUCCGGAUCAAAAGAAAUUGGACCAUAUGCUCGAAAUUGGGCUAAACAACAGCUAGGCCUUGGCAUAUGAACGGACAUAUGUUGAGAGGAAUCAACGGCUACAUCUAAAUCCUCAACAACUUAAAAAGGCAAGUGUGUCAUCGAUUGUUGAGUUACGGUCACAUCCAAAGAUGCCCCGUGAAAGAUUAAAGAAACUAAUUGGCAAUGUCUCACAUCGGAUUCGACGACCUCAAACCUCAAUUGACAUCGUCUACAACUCACUUCCCCCCGAGGAAUCAACGGAAAAUCAAUUAAGUCGAGACCUCAAAAGAACCGUGAAUUCUAAGCUUAAAGACAAGUUCAACCAAGCCUCAACCGAAAGAACCACACAACGGUUUGAUCAAAAGUCUACAACAAACGGCACCAACGUCGACAAGCCGAGAAAACCAAUGAUCCGGACAAGUUAUGGAUCGCGGAACGUGUAUCUAUUCUUGCUCUUCGUUCUUAGUCAUUUUGAUCUUUAGUGUAUAUGCUUUGAUAUAGGUGCUUGUUGGUUAAUUUUAUUCAAUUGCAGUUAUCAUGUUUACGUGAUGUUUGGUGUUUGAUUUUGUUUGGUUAAAAAUCUUUUUGAUGAAAGGUACUUGGGGAUUCAAUAUUUUGAGAAGGACGUGAUGAGAAUCAUUAUUUUGAGAAGAAAAGUAUUUAAAGAUUGUUUAACCGGUUUUAUCUCACUAACAUAUUAAGUUAAUUAUAUUAAUAUCGUCUUUCACUCCACUCAUUUAUUAUUUUGAUAUAUUUUUAUUAUAUGAUUUUUAUUGCAUAAUCAUCAAAUUUUGAAAUCAAAGCUUGAUUUUUUGAUGAUUAAUUCAUCUUGGUUAGGAGUGUUGGUAUAUGAUGAAUGGAUAUUCUCUAAUUGACUAAAUUCGUCCAAAUCUAUUUCAAUUGUGAGAUUGCCUAAUUUAGGGGAGUUUGAAAUUUAAAAAAAGGAAAGGAGAAAAAGAAAACUCCUAUGUUUAAAAAAUGGUGAAAAUAGUUACAUCCAAAAGGGUGUGAAAACUCACACAUGUAGGACGAGCUUACCACCAAUCGGAUCGAUCCGGCAAGGUGUGUUGAAGCUAUCCACAUGGUAAUUUAAUUUGAAAAGCGAAAAAAAGGUCGGUAAAAAAAAAUAUUUUAGAAAUUUCGAGUAAAGUAUAGUGUAGUUUGAAAAAGAUCUCAAAGAGCCACCCUGGUAUCAUCAUGGGUUUUUAAUCUGCAAUUUUGAACGGUUACGGACAAUCUUUGGUGUUCAAUUGAGUUGAAUUUUCUAAAAAUCAUUUUUCAAUCAAAUUACAUCGUUGAUGAUGUUUGAAUCUGUAAAUUAUUUUGAUUUUGAAAGUUUGGAGUUUUGGAUGUGUUGAAAUUUUAUAAUUUUUAUUUUUAUUAUAAUGAUUUUUGGAAAAGCCUAACUAUAUGAGAUAAUGUUAAAUGAUGGAUUUUUAAGUUUUUCGAAAUUUAUUUUUCACAUAUCUCUCUUUUNNNNNNNNNNNNNNNNNNNNNNNNNNNNNNNNNNNNNNNNNNNNNNNNNNNNNNNNNNNNNNNNNNNNNNNNNNNNNNNNNNNNNNNNNNNNNNNNNNNNGUGUACCGGUACACCAUAAUGGCUGUACCGGUACACCAAGCAGAAAAGGCUGAUUUCGCCCAAUCAAUACACUUUCUUGCUUUUAGCAUUCCAAUCAUCCUCUAACUUAUCCAAAAACUUGUUCUAACCUUUUAGAACAUGUAGGAGUGAUCCACACACCAUUCCACACACUCGAACUUCGCAAUUUGCGAAAGUCCAGUGUAUUACAGAGUACUAGCGCGCCGGUCGAGGAUCGUGGUAAGGGCUUAGCGCCCUAGAGGUUGUAGUAGUUUACUUUCCUACUUGCAUUUAGAGUACCCUCGUGUACGCAGAUGAUCAUGUAUAUUUUGGGAUGUAUUUGGGAGAGUACUUAUGCAUGUGAGAUGAAUAUGUAUCUAAAUGAGGAGGUGAACUUGUAUCAUAUUUUGGGAUAUGUAAAUGUAAAGUUAAUCAAAUGUAUUAAAGUUGAAUGGAUGUAAUAGUUUGGUAUCUUUCUUUUAUUCACUUAUAUAUGCUCUACUUGUGAUGCCUGCUUUUGGUUGUUCAGCACUGGUUGUGCUCUCGCUUUUGUUGCUCGAUUGUGUAUGUAUUCAAGUUAUUUUUCUGGGCACUUGUUGUACACGAUCACGUUGUUUAGUCUUGAGGGGACAGGGGAGGUGCUGUCCGUCCGGCGUCUGUUCGACGCGUCCGAGCCGGACCAAAUUGGUAGCAGGUGUAACAUACCACGUCCCUCGUAAAUCGUGCCGAGUUCCGUCAAAACGAGCGGAACGCAGAGUUGAAUGAGUUAGAGUGGACCCUAAGAGCAUUAAAGUCCAUAAGUGAAGCUAAAAGGGACCCGAGAGAGAGUAAAUCUAGAAAUCUGGCUAAGUCCUAGAUUUUGUGCUCUCGGGGACCAGUCCCUGAAGGAGAGACCGGUCCCCGUACGCGUAGCCUGCCAGGAAAUCCUGAGGCUUCCGGUCCCUGGUGGUGAGACCGGUCCUUGGGAGAUCGGUCCCUCGCUGCGCAGCAGCUGAAAAACGGGAAAAUUUGGCUAAGUCCUUGAAAACCCACGUUCGGGAACCGGUCCCUGGUCGGGGAGACCGGUCCCCAAAGGCGAAAAAUGCCCAGUCUUGGCAGAUCAAGAGGAAACAAGUGGAGGGGCUUAAAUGCAAUUGUCACAACGGAUGCUUGCUUUUGUAAUGUUCGGCACUGGUUGUGCCCUCGCUAUUGUUUUGAUCAUGUAUGUAUUCAAGUUGAUUUUCUAGGAACUUGUUGUACAUGAUCCUGUUGUUUAGCCUUGGGCGGACAGGGGAGGUGUUGUCCAUUCGGCAUCUGUUCGACGCGCCCGGAUCGGACCAAAUUGGUAGCGGUCUCGGGGCGUGACAGUGUGUGUGCAUUGCGUUUCAGGACGCGAUGACACCACCAAGGAGAGUUACGACGUCCACACCGGCGGAGCCUCGGGAGGAGCUCGGGCAGUCGGGGUCGGACGACGUGCACGAGUUGCGAGCCCAAGUAGCGGCUUUGGCCGGGGCUAUGCGGCUUCAAGGGGAGCAGAUAGGGCGGCUCCACGAGAUGAUGGCGCAACAGGCAGCAGCGGCAUCAGUGCCAAGGGAUCCACCCCCACCGGCUGCUCCUGUAGCACCACCUCCUGCGGUGGCGGCAGCGCCAGUGACGACUAUUCCUCCGAUGGCAUCGAGUUCAUCGGCUCCUAUUUUCGAUGUACUUGAGGCCGAGCAGGAGCGCACGUUGGCGGCGCUGACAGCAUUUAAGCGAUUCAACCCUCCGACCUUCAACGGUGACGUGAAGGAUCCGUGGACGACGGAGAAUUGGCUAGCCGCGAUGGAGGCCUUGUUCGAGGAUAUCUACACCCUCGAGAAGGAUAAAGUUCAUUUGGCGGCUCAUUAUUUUGAUGGGUUGGCUCGGUUGUGGUGGAACCAAGCGAGGAAAAAUCGCUUGCUAGGGCACCCUUUUCUUACUUGGGAAGCAUUCCGGGAGAUGCUGCUGAUGGAGUAUUUCCCCGAAAGUGACAAAAGAAAAAUCAAGGAGGAUUUUCGAAAGCUGAGGCAAGGAAGCCGAUCCGUGCGGGAGUACGAGAGGGAGUUCACGCACAUGAUAAACUGUGUGCCAGACUUGGUCCAUGGAGAUAUGGACCGAGCGGAGGUAUUCGAGCGCGGGUUGCAACCCGAGAUUUUCAAGGUUAUUCAUGCAUUCCGCUUGAAGACCUAUGAGGAAGUGCUUGAUCGCGCGCUUUUGGUGGAGCGCGGGAAUGCCAUCGCGCGUGAUGAGCGCGAGAAUUUUGAGAGAGACAGGGAAAGAGAUAAGACCAAGAAGCGACCGGCUGGUGGAUCUGCGGGGCAAUCGAGUUCUAAGCGACCCCCGCGACCUCCACGAUCACAUUGGCGGGGAGGUAGGAGUCAGACCCAGAGCCGUGUCGCCUACCCAUGUGUGAUCUGCGGUGAAGACCACCGGGUUACNNNNNNNNNNNNNNNNNNNNNNNNNNNNNNNNNNNNNNNNNNNNNNNNNNNNNNNNNNNNNNNNNNNNNNNNNNNNNNNNNNNNNNNNNNNNNNNNNNNNNNGGUGAAGACUACCGGGUUACCUCUUGCCCACAGCGAGAGGGGCGAUGCUAUCGGUGUGGCCAGGCGGGCCACCUUGGCCGAGAGUGCCCGGGCGGCGUGUCCCCAACCCCGUCAUCAGCUUCGGCUCAAUACACUCAGCGACAGCUGGCGGGACUGCCACUCGCAACAUAUACUGGAUGAUCGUCGUUGCCUCGUCAGCCGGAGGCUUCUCGAGCACCUAGUGGGCGGGUUUUUGCCACUCAGGUGGAGGAGCAGCCGACCAUAGUUCCUGACGACGUGGUAGUAGGUAUUAUUCUGAUCAGAGGCACUAGAGCUAGAGCUAUAUUUGAUACAGGUGCAUCUCAUUCAUUCAUAUUAGCAUCAUUUGCACAAGCUCAUAAUACAGAGAUCACUCAUAAUGAGGAGUAUUGGUCGGUGAACACUCCCGAGCACUCGAUCGACGUCUACGAUGAGUGCUUGGACUGCCCAGUGCAAAUAGGCGAUUGGAUUAUGCAGAUCGACCUUCUAGUGUUGAAAGAAAUGUGGGGAUUCGAGGUAAUCUUGGGAAUCAAUUGGCUCUCCAAGUACUAUGCGGUUAUAGAUUGCGAAAGAAGGGUGAUCACGUUCCGUAAACCCAACCAAGAGGAGUUUGUCUAUCGGGGGUGUAAAGGCAAGCGCUUCGCAGCCACUAUAUCGACGGUGAGGGCGAAAAUGAUGAUCAAGGGUGGUUGUAAGGCCUACUUGGCGACCAUCGUAGACCCUCGACAGGAGUACCUGGAACUGGAGAGUAUUCGAGUUGUGCGGGAGUAUCCGGAUGUAUUCCCAGUGGAGUUACCGGGAUUGCCCCCGGAUCGAGAAGUCGAGUUUGUCAUUGACUUGAUUCGCGGGGCGGCGCCAAUUUCGAAGGCUCCGUACAGAAUGGCACCGGUGGAGCUAAAAGAGUUGAAAGCUCAAUUACAAGAUUUGCUCGAUAAAGGCUUCGUACGGCCGAGCGUGUCCCCGUGGGGAGCUCCGGUGCUAUUUGUAAAGAAGAAAGACAUCACACUCCAACUCUGCGUCGAUUAUCGCGAGUUGAAUAGAGUGACGAUCAAGAAUAAAUACCCAUUGCCAAGAAUUGAUGACCUGUUCGACCAGUUGCAAGGGUCAAGGGUGUAUUCAAUGAUUGAUCUGCAGUCGGGGUAUCAUCAACUGAAGAUACAACCCAAAGAUGUACACAAGACGGCGUACCGUACGCGGUAUGGCCACUAUGAGUUUACGGUUAUGCCAUUCGGGCUCACUAAUGCCCCGGCGGCAUUUAUGGACCUAAUGAAUCGGAUCUUCCGUCCGCUAUUAGACCGGUGCGUCGUGGUUUUCAUUGACGACGUAUUGGUAUAUUCUCGGACCGAAGAAGAACACGAGGAGCAUCUAAGACUCGUGUUGGAGACACUCCGGAAGGAAAAGCUUUACGCAAAAUUAAAGAAAUGCGAGUUUUGGCUUUCGGAGGUUACCUUCUUGGGCCACGUUGUAUCCGGAGAUGGCAUCUCGGUGGACCCAAAGAAAGUUGAGGCGAUUAAAGAUUGGCCUCGCCCGACAAGUGUAGCGGAAAUUCAUAGCUUCCUUGGACUUGCGGGCUAUUACCGGCGGUUCGUGGAGGGGUUCGCCAGGAUAACGACUCCACUAACGUGCCUUACGCACAAAGGGGUGAAGUAUGUUUGGAGCCCCGAGUGUAAGCGGAGCUUUGAGGAGCUAAAGAAUAGACUAAUAUCUACUCUGGUGCUUGCUUUACCGACGCCGAGAGAGAGUUAUGUCGUAUACAGUGAUGCUUCAUGUAUCGGUCUCGGGUGUGUGUCUUAAUGCAAAACGGCCGAGUCAUAGCUUAUGCUUCGCGCUAGUUGAAGAGUUAUGAAAAGAACUACCCGACUCACGAUCUUGAGCUAGCGGCGGUUGUUUUGACGCUAAAACUGUGGAGGCAUUACCUGUAUAGGGAACAUUGUGAGAUCUACACCGAUCAUAAGAGUCUCAAAUACUUGUUCACCCAGAAGGAGCUAAACUUGCGACAGCGGCGGUUGUUAGAGUUGCUCAAAGAUUAUGACGUCACGAUUCUCUACCACCCCGGGAAAGCGAACGUCGUGGCCGAUGCUCUAAGUAGAAAGUCGGCGGAAAAUUUGGCGACGGAGAUUACGCCUCAACCGGCAUUGCAAAAGGAGAUACAACGGUUUAGACUAGAAGUUGUGGCGCCGAGAGUGCUGGCAACACUUACCACUUUAGUUGUGCAACCAACCUUGAUGGAAAGAAUUAAAGGAUUGCAAACAUCGGAUGUAUUUCUCCAAAAGGUGCGGGGCAAAGUUGAGAGCGGUAGUGCCGAAGGUUUUGGCAUUGGAACCGACGGCGCACUACGAUAUCGGGAUCGUUGGUGUGUGCCCAAGGACGACGAUCUUCGGAAGGCGAUUAUGCAAGAAGCGCAUCAAUCUCCCUAUAGCAUUCACCCGGGCGGCACCAAAAUGUAUCGAGACUUGAAAUUACAUUAUUGGUGGCCGGGCAUGAAGAAAGACAUAGGGAAGUUCGUGGCGCAAUGUCUCACGUGCCAACAAGUGAAGGCGGAGCGUCGAUUUCCAGCAGGCAAAUUGCAGAGUCUACCUAUACCCGUGUGGAAAUGGGAAAAUAUUGCAAUGGACUUUGUGACAGGUCUGCCUAGGUCACAAGGUGGACACGACGCGAUAUCGGUAGUUGUGGACCGGUUGACAAAAUCGGCGCACUUUUUGUCGAUCCAUACUACUUGGUCGGGAGACAAGUUAGCUCAAGUUUUUAUCGACGAGGUGGUGAGACUCCACGAGGUUCCGGUAUCUAUUGUGUUGGAUCGGGACCCUAGGUUCACAUCUCAUUUUUGGAAGAGCUUGUAGAAGGCAUUAGGCACGCGGCUCGACUUUAGUACGGCCUUCCAUCCUCAAAGUGACGGUCAAUCGGAGAGGACAAUUCAAAUACUUGAGGACAUGCUUCGAGCAUGUGUGCUUGAUUAUAAGGGCGGAUGGCACGAUCACUUACCGAUGGCGGAAUUCGCAUAUAACAAUAGCUAUCAAGAAAGCAUUGCGAUGGCGCCAUUCGAGGCCCUGUACGGAAGGAAAUGUCCCUCGCCGAUACACUGGAGCGAUGUGGGUGAGAAAAUGGUUCUUGGCCCGGAUGUGGUGCGGGAGGCGGAAGAGAAAGUCCGCCUUACCCGAUAAAGAUUAGUGACGGCGCAAUCACGGCACAAGAGUUAUACCGACAAGCGGCGAAAGGAUAUUGAGUUCGCGGUAGGAGACCGCGUAUUUCUAAAGGUAUCGCUGAUGCGAGGAGUUGGGCGGUUCGGUGUACGCGGGAAGUUGAGUCCCCGCUAUAUCGGACCCUUCGAGAUUUUGGAACGAGUUGGUGCGGUGGCCUACAAGUUGGCAUUACCACCGAGGCUCGCAGGAGUACAUGAUGUAUUCAAUGCAUCCCAACUCCGCAAGUAUGUGUAUGACCCAGAUCAUAUUCUCUCGUAUAUACCGAUAGAACUCCAAGAGGAUGUGACUUAUGAGGAGUUCCCGGCUUAUAUCGUGGAUCGAGAAGUGAGAAAGCUCCGGAACCGCGAAAUCCCGUAUGUUAAAAGUUCAUUGGUGCGAACAUGAUGACCGAAAAGAAACGUGGGAGCUCGAAAACGAAAUGAGGGAGCGUCAUCCUCACCUCUUCGAGGAUCCGAAGUGAGGUAAGAAAUUUAAAUUUCAACCUUAGAAGUUUCGCGGACGAAACUAAAUUUAGGGGUGGAGAAUGUAACAUACCACGUCCCUCGUAAAUCGUGCCGAGUUCUGUCGAAACGAGCGGAACGCGAAGUUGAAUGAGUUAGAGUGGACCCUAAGAGCAUUAGAGACCAUAAGUGAAGCUAAAAGGGACCCGAGAGAGAGUAAAUCUGGAAAUCUGGCUAAGUCCCAGAUUUUGUGCUCUCGGGGACCGGUCCCUGAAGGAGAGACCGGUCCCCGUACGCGUAGCCUGCCAGGAAAUCCUGAGGCAUCCGGUCCCUUGUGGUGAGACCGGUCCUCGGGAGACCGGUCCCGGAAGGGCAGACCGGUCCCUCGCUGCGCAGCAGUUGAAAAACCCAAAAAUUUGGCUAAGUCCUGGAAAACCCACGUUCGGGAAUCGGUCCCUGGUCGGGGAGACCGGUCCCCAAAGGCGAAAAAUGCCCAGUCUGAGCAGAUCAAGAGGAAACAAGUGGAGGGGCUUAAAUGCAAUUGUCACAACACUUUAUAUGGGCCAUCCCUUCUCUCCCACAGCCAUUCCUCUCCUCCUCUCUCAUUUUCUCACUUUCUCUCUCUAGAACUCUCCUAGAGCUUGGAGAAGAAGAAGAAGAACUUGGAGAAGAAGGUGGAUUUGGUGCUUUGGAGGUUCUAGGAGCUCUCCAACAAGAAGAAUCUUGGUACAGCUUGGAUUAGAGGUAAGUUUUGUGAGGUUUUCCUCUAGGGUUUGGGUUUUGGUUUAGAAAAUUGGAGCUUUGUGCUCCUUAGAGGUUUUAGAGGCUCUUUUGAGCCAUGAAUGUCAUGGUACCCAUGAGAGCUCAAGGUGCUCUCAUGGUGAACCCUUGGAAGUUGGGUUAGGAGCCCUAGGGUUGGUCCCAAAGGUCUAGAAACCGUACUAAGAUGUUCCUUAGAUGAUUCUAAGCUAUUAUUUGCUUAGGGUUGAGAUCGAUUCAUGGGGAAACCCUAAAUGACAAUAUUAGGGCUUGAAAAUUGGGGCUUUUGCCCUAGGAUUUUUCGGGGACAAAUUGACCCCGUAGAAACCUAAUUGGGGGUCAAAUAAACACGUUGGACAACUUCGUUUGAGGAAACGAAAAUAUUUAAGAAUAGUUCAUGUAUAUAAGGGCCUAAUUAGGCACCCUUUUUGGAUUGUAGGACGCAGAUCGUCGUUCGUAGCGUUCGGGAGUUUCGUAUUCUCACCCACACGAUUACUAGAGGUGGGGGGUGCACGCCGAAAUCGCUGGAUUCCCUUCUAUGUCUAUUUCUCUAUUCUUGAGCAUAUGGUUAUUCAUUCCGUCAUGCAUAUUAAGGUUAAUUCACAUGUGAACUUUGGUUGUUUUCAUUAUGUUUAUUCCAAGUGUAUUUGAAAGUAGAGAGAAAUGGGACCAUGAUGGACAUGUGUUAUUGAACCCUAGGAAUUGCAUGAUAGCGGGACUUGGACUUAGCACAAGUAAACAAAUGGUGACAAUGACAUUAGAGAGAUAGAUUAGCUUGGAUAAAUGGAUGUUAAACAUAGAUUUAACUAUAGUGGCAUUGUGACGAGAUCGACUAGAAAGUGGCAUGAGAACAUAGGUAGAAAACCUAUCACAAAAGUGGCAUCAUGACAAGUGGCUUAAUAUCCUCAACGCGGGGAUUUGAUCGACACUCAUAAUAAGUCUUGGCUUGAGGGAGGUUGCUCCUCCUCAUGCGGUGUGUUUCCAGAAAUCGACACCACAGGGAGCGAGAUCCCUGAAGACGGUCCCUCGGGUCAGUAGUGCCUGGAGCCUCCCCGGUAAAGAAAGGGAUUCUGGGUUAUGAGUUUUUGGGGUUAACAAGGUUAACCGGUAAGAUUGGGUAAGAGCCGAAACUUAUUUACGAAUUGAGCAUGCAUGCAUUUUCCGUUAUUGCAUUGAGUAUUUGUAUCCACUGACAUUCUUUUGCAGGCAUAGUAUUAGAUGCAUUAGUACUGGUUACUUUUCUUUCCUUGAAAUACUUAUGCCUGGAUAGACCUAAUGGGUAAGUCAGCGAGGUCGGAUGCCGAACCCACUGGGAACUUCGUUGUAGUUCUCACACCACUAACCUUACAGGUCCUAGCACGAGCGGGGCGGCGGCGGACCGAGGCAAGGGUAUAGCGCCGUAGAUAGCGGCCACCGGAACUUUAUGUAUUUUGUAGCCAUUUCCCUUUUGGUAUACAUGAUCAACUUCUUUUGUUGAUUUAGAGAUGUAAAGUUGUAAACGAUCAUGUAAUUUUGGUGGAUGGCUAAAUGUAAAAAGAAAUGAUGGUUGAGUGGAAAUGUAAUAGUUUUAAUCACUUGUAUUUGAUUUAAAUUUAAU
rnacentral:lncRNA from 1 species